rnacentral:lncRNA from 1 species
UAGUUAAAAAAAAACUUGUCCUUAAGCAUCUACGGUUUCAGCUGAAUCAGCAGCUGCUAAGACAAGCUCCGGGCUUAGGUCUCCGACAUACGAUCCAUCAAUAACAUUGGGCUGUCCCAAAGCUUUCAGAGCGAGGUGUGCCGCCUUCUGUCCCGAUAUCAUCAUAGCUCCGAACGUUGGUCCCUGCAUCACAUAUUCAUUCACUCAGCAUAUCAUCUUAUUAUAAAUGAUUGAUUCAAGGAAAGGGAAACAAACUCACCAUUCUUGGUGCACCAUCGAUCUCAGCAACUUCCAUACCGGUCACAAUCAUACCGGGUACAACCUCCCUAGUCAACCUCACAAUCGCAUCCUCAGCUGUGUUCAUGUCAAGAGCUUUCAUCCCGGGAACAUGGUCGAUCAACCCAAUGCUCUUCAACCUCUUCACACCGGUGGCUCCAAAGGGACCAUCGUGACCACACGAGCUGACAACAAUCUUGGCCUCCAUGACGUUAGGGUCCAUGCAAGACUGUGUGUCGUGGUUCAUCGACACAAGGGCCCAGUUAGUCACCACACCGCCGACUCUGUUCCCUUUCACGAUCAGAUCCUCAGCGGCGACAGCGUUGAAGAGCUUGACGUUGGGACGAGCCAAAAGCUUGCUCAUGAUGGUGGAUGUGAAGAGAGCAGCGUGCUUGAUCACGACGUAGUUGUCUUGCUCAUCGUAGGCUACACCAAUCUCGUCAAGGAACAAGUGAGCUGGUUUGCGCACAAUCUGUUAAACACGGAUAUACAAUAACUUCAGUCUACUACACAUUACCAAUCACAUGCAAACCAAUCUAUGUACUUAAACACAUAAGAAGCUCUUAACACAGAGAGAGUUCGGAUAAAACAUUAUCAUGGGACAAUCUGUCCAACACAAACACACACAGGGCCCGCUAAAUCCCCCAGUAUCUUGAUAGCUUAAGGAUCAAAUAUUUUUUGUAUAUACAAAUUUUUAUAGAGAAAAUUUUAAAUAUUCACUAAAUUUGGUUGAAAAGUAGGCAUAUUUUAUGUGUACAUAAUUUGUUUUCAUCACAAAUUUUAUAAAGAUGUUGAUGAUAAAAUAAUUAAAAAAUAUUUUAAAAAACAUAAAUAUUAAAAACUUCAAUUUUUUUGCGCAUGUGUCCAAAUAAAUAUUGAGCCGUCCCUGAAUAUACAAUAACUCCAGUCCAGAGCAUACAUAUUCGCAUAUGACAUCCAAUAUAUUAAUGGUUAGUAUGUAUUAUAUCAUUCAGUCCUAAAUGAUUUUAAAAUAUAUGUGUUUAGUAAUUGUUUAAGCCUAAUAAUCUCAGAGCCCGCCUUGGCUUCCAUGAACACAAAUUAAUUAAACCAAACCUUAGUAGUUCCUCAGUAGUGUGACAUGCAAGUUAGUCUAAGUACUGAAACACUAUAUAGCAAGCUCUUACCACAAAGAGAGUUCGAAUAAAACAUUACCAUGGCGGAGAAAAGCUGACCACCGAGCCACGCGCCACCACCAGGACUGACAGAUUGCUCGAUGAUUGCGACCUGAACGUUAGGGUUCUUGCUGAUCUCGUAAGCACACGAUAGUCCAGCGGAGCCAGCACCAACGACGACGACGUCGGUCUCGGCGUAAGUGAUCAUAUCAGUCAUGUACCUCCUCGUCAUCUCGCGAGACACGAUGGACUCCUUGAUGGGGUCAAAAGUGAAGGCGUUCAGAUCGUAGCCAGCGGUGGCGCGGACGGAGAGGGAGCGCGGUUUGAGACCGACGGAGACAGGUGCGGCGGAGGAGAUGGAUGAGCCAUGGAAAUAGGAGUCGAAAAGGCGCUGAGGCUUGGUGGAAGAGAGGGAGAGAGUAGAGGUGAUGGACGCCAUAUUUGAGAGGUGUGUUUAUGUUUUGAGUGACGAUGAAGAUGAUGGUGGUGAAGUGAAACUGUGGUGGCUGUUGAAUAUUUAAAUUAGAAGAUGAAGAAAUAUCUGGAGAGUGAUGGCCACGUCAGAGAUAAGGCAUGAAGGGUCGUCGAUUUUUUGUUUUAUUUUUUAUAUAAAUGAAAUUAUUAAUUUCUGCCAUUAAUGGAAACAUUGGAAAGUAACGAUCUCCUUCCUUCACGGUUCGAAUUGAAUGAAGGAAGUUUUGAAAAUUUUCAUGACUUUUGAAAAAACCAAAGUUUAGUGAGAAAGUUAACAUACUUAUUUGUUUUUGUUACCCGAUUAAACCAGAAAUAUUUGCUUGUCUAAGAAAGAAAUAAAUCGUUUUGAUAUAUGUAGUUUAUGAAACAAUUAGAUUCAUAUAUUUUGUAUUAAAAUUCAGUUUGUGGUAAUUAAGAAAUAUCUCGAGACUUUUGUCUGGAAGUUUCUGUAACCAUUUGCACUGAGUGUGUGGUGACACGAACAACACCAGAAAGUGAGAUAUCUGUGUACGAUAGAUAUGGAUUUGGAUUUUACUAGUGAAAAGAUAGUUCACUAUUAUGGUGUCCAAAUAACAAAAAAAUAUUACUACUUUAUUAUAUCAAUAUUUUUUAUUUAUGAAUUAUGAGCGGCAUGUUCUUUUUGGUCAUAGAAUCUUUUUUUCUUGUGGACCAAAAUAAAAUCUGCAAUUCAAAGAUUUCAAAAUAAAUUUGUAAUCGAGAAACCUUAGUACUAAAAUCAUCACAAUAAAUUUGUAAAUAUGCGUUUUUUCUUCUAUAUUUAUAUAUCAUAUGUAUCAUGUUAAACCUCUGGUUCCAGACCAAUAACUUCCAAGUUAUUACAUACUUGCAGGUUUUUUUCUUUGUGCCUCUCUCUAAACCAUACAUUAGUGAUUCGGUUGAUGUGUGUGAAUGUCCAUAAACAAAGGCUAGCUAGAAUGUCUAGUGAACAUGUUGUUAUAAUUUGAGUCAUUUGACAGCUUUGUGUUUUUUUUAAACUUAAUUAGUAAGUUCGGAUCUUGAGGUACGAGAGAGAGAGAGGAUAACUUAAGAUUACAUGGUUAUCUUUUUAGCCAUGCAAGCCUGCCAAGUAAUCUGAGUUUCAAACGUAUAUGUAUAACGGUGUCUUAGUUAUUUUGGCAUCAAGAGUUGAAGAGGUUGAUAUAGCCCGAGCAAGGAAACAUAAAUGCGUAUAUAUAUAAUAUACUGUAUAUAUAUAGCUCUAAUGUAAGGAGUGUUGUUGGAAUUCAAAAUUUGUAUAUACACACUCCAAACAAAACAAAGUCGGAUCGAGCAUGCACGGUGUUAUGCGUGCCAGAGCGUCAUCUCGAUUAUCCCCGUAACAACUUGCACAAAUUUUGAAACUUAACAAAACUCUCAUACCCGUGUGCACAUACACCAUCUCGUGCUCAUUACACGUAAACACCAUGCAAAACUCUCUCUUCCAUAAAUAAACUAUUUCUCUUCACUUCGCUUCAUCAUUAUCACUCACCAAGAACCUCAAAAACUCACACAAAAUGGCUAAUUAGCUCUUUCUCGUUUUCGCAACUCUCUCCCUCUUGGCCUUCUUAACCAACGCUUCCAAUAUUAGAGCUAAUCAUAGGUAUCAAUAGUUUCUUAACUCUUUAUUAAGCAUAAAACUCUCAGACUCUCAUGUGUGUGUUCUAAGAAACUAUUGAUAACUAUGAUUUUGACCUAAUACUUGGGACGUACCUGUACUGAAUCAGGAUAAGAUUUACAUGUCUUCUGUAUUCGAUUGAGACCUGGACAUGGUUUUUGUUUACAACAAAAAACAAGAAACAUGGUAAGGUUGUGUCACGGAAGAGCACUAAUACUAUAAUCUGUAUAGAAAUUAAAAUAGUCUUUUUGAUCCAACAAAUUGUCCUAUUAAGCAAGUGUUUACAGUAACGAAGUGUUGAUACAUCCUAAACUUAAGAAACAAGACAUGUGGAGUUCUCUUUUGAUUUAAUGGUUUAACUACCGAGUUUUUUUCAGCCAGAAUCAGAAAGGGUAGGAUACUAUUACUUCACAGUUGCAAAUUUAUAAAACUGACCAACUGGUCACUGUUAAACUUACAAGAAUAAGAAGCUAAUCUUGGGGAGCUAUAUCUUUCAGGUAAGCACAUGCACAGCUUGAGCUUGAGAUUGCGGAAUUCAACCACAGACAUUCAUGCCUAGACACAAGACAGAGAUUCUUUCCUUCUCUUCAUUCCAGAUACUUGAAUAGGACCCAAGCCUCUACAUUAUAAUUAUAAUACAUCUAAAAGGUAAAUGAAUAGAGAAACCAUAAACAUGGUGUGGAAGACUUCAAGCUGAACUGAUAGAUACCUUAGUUGAUGACUUUGAGCUGUCAAAGGAAGAUUGUUGACUGCUGAGAUGGACCAAUAAGAAGGACACUGCUGAGCUGAACACAUAACCCACACCUCUCCAUUAUAAGAGCACUUCCAUCAAUAGGACACGAAGGUGGGUAUCAAACAAUUAUUAAAUUAAAAAAAGAGAGGGAAGUGGGAAAGUGAUACGGUUUGGAAAAGUUAAUUGCGACUCUUUUGCGUUCUUACUUUAUAAGACCACGAUUAACGCUGAAACCCCAAAUGAAUUAUUUAAAUUUUAUUUUUUAUUUUUUAUUUUUAUCUGAAUAAAAAAAUCAACUAAUCGCGGACUGCCACAUGUCAGUGGGAUCCGCGAACAGUGCAAAAACCCAACUAACAGGGUUCUUUAUUAUGGAUUUUCUGGCACCGGUUUUUUUCUCCCUGUGAACCACUCCCCCCUUAAAAAGCCCACUAAAACCCCCGAUAAUCUUGCUCUAAGUGGCAACCAUUCAUUUGAUUAGUUUAUUACAUACAAUUUUUUUAAUUAUUUACUAAAAAAUGUACUAAAUAAUAAUAUAAAGAGGGAUGAGAACCCUUGUGUAUUUCUUAACCAAUAAUGUACUUCUUACCAAUAAGGUUGAUCUAAUACAUUUAAAACCUAAAUGAAUAGAGAAACAAUAGAUAUAAUAAGUUGAUGAUGGUGUCAUGGUGAGCUGAAGACUGUUGACUGCUGAGCUAGACCAAUAAAAAGAAGAUUGCAGUUGGAGCUUUCUUGUAUUGGUUGAUUACUAUAAAGGCCUUGACCAUACCUUUCUUGUAGAGGAUGGAAAGCUCAUAGGUUAGGUGUGUGGGCAAUUUUAGGGUGGUGGUCUCUAGAAAUUGAAGGCAAAAUUAGAGUGUUUUAUUUCUUGAGAAUCGGUUCCCCAAUACUAGUGUACUUGGUUUCUUAUCAUCAACAAAGAAAAACAUGAAGUUAGAAUCCUCCCUUUGAGCAACUGCCAACUCCACAUUCUACCGUUAUGAUUCUUUACAAGAAAGUGCUUAUACAUCCUUAACCUAAGAUAUAAUGUUUUAUAUGUGUAGCAUGAAAAUCCAGUCGUUCAAAAACAUAAUUGAGUCAUUUUGCUAGCUUUUCCAAACACUUGCUCGUUAAACUACGCUUUAAACACAUUUUGAUUCUUAUCUCUCAGUACAAUGUAAAGACUCAAGACUCACAGAAUGGCAACAUGCCACAGAACAAUGACCGGUCAGAAUAUCCAACACGAGCGCAAAAAAGGUUCAAAAGCAAAUACCUAUUAACAUAUACAAAUUUCUUAACCUUAUCCAGUAGAAUAAUUGAAGUUUUAAUAGAAUACGAAUACAUAAAACACUUGCGUUCUCUUUCUUCUGUAAAAAAACAGCAUCAGACUCUAAACUUCUCCCUCUAUGAAGCCCACAACAUGGUGGUAGUCAAUAAUAAAAGAAAGAAACCAGAGAUCUUCGGUGGUGGUUGCAAAAACUCAGAUUCCUCUGGAGAAGAUUAAAAACCUGGAAUUUUUUUUUUCAGUCUCACAACAACGCAAGAUUCACAUUUUCUUUUCACUUGGAUGAUAGACUUAGCCAAUCUAUUGGAGAACACACCUACAUUAUUUAGUUUAACAUGGAACGACCAGCAGAUCCCCGAGGACAAACAACAGAUCUUACAUGCUCCGAGAUCUGUUGAUGCUCCAUGUUAAAACAAAAUAACGUAGGUAUCAGCUAUCCAAGUGAAAAGAAAUGAGAAACCAAGAGUUGCUGAGAAACUGAAAAAUAAACAGUUGUGAAAAAAACGGAAGAGAGUGUAAAACUCGUAUACAUCUACUUCGCUUUUGUACUGGCUAUACGGAACCGAGGAAGAUUUCAUCGUCAGCUCAUGGAAAAAUCUGACGCCAUCAGAACACCACGCAGACUAUCGCCAACAUUAUGAUCAUUUUAUAGCUUAACGGAAUAUUCGAGGAAAGAAAGCUCCUUAGUGGGCCCUUACAUGUCCCUAGUCUUUUUUGAACUCAAGUCUUUUUAGUCAGCUUUCUGAGCUAAUGAUAUGUUUUACCUGGACCAGUCAAAUUUGUAUUAAACCAAGUUGAACCAAAUUAGUCUAUCUUAAUUUUUUAAACCAAUAAUCUAAUUAAACAAAAAUAUAAUGAAACUCUUCAUCUAAUAAAGAGUAGUAGCGCACGUCAUGGGAAAUAAUAACAAAAGACUGGCGCUGGAGCACGUCGAACUAAUUUUGGUGGAUUUGAUUGGUUUGGCACGUCAAACUAGGGCUAUGCUUGGUAAUGGUUUUAUGCUUUAGAAGAAAAAAAUCCAUCAUGUAGUAAGGAAAAGUGGCUUUAAGUCUUUUUAAAAGGCUUUAAAAGCUUUUAGAUCAAUAAAGUCUAAUUGAAUAGUUAGACUACAACCGUAGAAAUUUUACUACAUAAUUUAGUCUUUAAAUUUUUUUGAUAAUGUAACUAAUAUAGUUGUAAAAAUUUAAUGAGAAACAUAAUAAAAAAGAAACAGAUUCAUACGUCAAUAUCUUUUUACUUUAGAAAAGAAAGUUCAUAUAAUUUUUUCGUUAGUUUUUUUUGGCUCUACCUUUAAAAAGUACAUAAAUCAUGAUUGGUAAACUUUAUAGUUAUAGAUAGAAACUAAAACUAAAUAACAAUCCAACCAAUCAACUCGAAUGACUUUUAAGGCUUUAGAAUUAUCUCAAAGCUUUGAGACAUUUCACAACUAAAAACUGAUUUUUAUUUAAACAAAAAUAGGGAAAGGGAGACGUGUCAGAUACUAAAAUGUGAGUCUAUUCUUCUCUGUUAAAGUAAAAAGACUAUACGUAAAAGAAAUCUCAAUCCGCUUUUUUGCAUUUAAAAAUCAGAUAUAAAUAAGAAAGGAAGAAAGAAAGAAAGAAAAUCAUUAGUGAAGAAGUUUAAAACAGCUUUCGUCUCUUCUUCGCUCUCUCUAUUAUCCUUCAAAUCUUUCCCCUUUUCUUCCUCCUCCUCCUAAUCGUUUCCAAAGUCAUAAUCAGGUUCCUGCUUCGGGACUCGCUCUUCUUCUUCUUUCUUCCAAUUCUUAUUCUCAAUUGCUGCUUCAUUUGUUCGUUCUUUUCUUUCAUCUUCUUCUUUAGCGCGAUUCAACUUAAGCAUUUUCAGUGGGUUUCGCAAAUUUUCAAUCUUUUUUUGCUUUGAUUGUGUUUCGGUUGGUUUCUUGCUUCGUCACAACUUGAAGAAGCAAAUUGCGAUGUUCUGUUUCUAAUUUGAGAUUCCAUUUAUUCGUUUCUUGUGAGACUCCACCAUGAAAGAUUUUCUUGGAAAAUUCUCAGGCGUACAAGUAUGAGUAACACCGACGACGAUCCUCAGACGAAGCCUGAGACUUCUUCCGACGGAGCUGUCUCGCGAUCAGCUCGGACCUCCUUUCAAGCCGUCUCUGACUGCCUUCGUGCGAUUUCCUCCGGCGCUUCCACCGUCGCUCGCUCCGCCGCUUCCGCCGCCUCUUCCGUCGUUAACCGAGACGCCGACUCUCUUCACGACAAGGUAUAAAAAAAAAGUUGACAACUUUGAUAUAAUGGGUCACGAUAAACUUGCUUUAGGUGCAAGAAUCAUUAGGGUUAGGGUUGAUAGCUUUUAAAGAUUGAACCUUUAGUCUUUGUGUUGCUCUGUUGAGAAAAAGUUUGAUAGCUUUAGGUGCAAGAUUCAUUAGGGUUAGGGUUGAUAGCUCUUAAAAGAUUGGACCUUUAAGCCUUUGUGUUGCUCUGCUGAGAAAAAGUUUGAUAGCUUUAGGUGCAAGAUUCAUUAGGGUUAGGGUUGAUAGGUUUUAAAAGAUUGAACCUUUAAGCCUUUGUGUUGAGAAAAAGUUUGAUAGCUUUAGGUGCAAGAUUCAUUAGGGUUAGGGUUGAUAGCUUUUAAAAGAUUGGAUCUUUAGUCUUUGUGUUGCUCUUUUGAUGCCUCAGGUACUAUGGGCGGGGUUUGAUAAGCUAGAGAGAGAGGAUGGCGACACUCGGAGAGUUCUUCUACUUGCGUUUCGCUCUGGUUUCCAAAUCUGGGACGUUGAAGACACUGGGAACGUCCAUGUCAUUGUCUCUGCUCACGACGGACACGCAGCCUUUAUGCAGAUGCUACCUUACCCGUUAGUCUCCGAGGAGAUAGACGAUGCGUUUGCUGAGAGCCGUCCGCUUCUGGCUGUGUGUGGUGACAGCUCUUGGGUGGAGAUUUUAGAUAUAGAGAGCGCUUCUGAUAACACUGAAAGUGAAACCAUAGUGCCUACGCAUGUGAAUGUCUACUCGUUAAAGUCAAACUCUUAUGUGCAUAAGUUGAAGUUCGAGUCUGUCAUCUACACCAUCAGGUGCAGUUCUCGGAUCGUUGCUGUGCUACAAUCAGAUCAGGUUCGAAGUUUUUUGUCAUAUUGUGUUUGAUUUUGUAUCUCUUCUGAAACUAACAAGUGACUUUUGCAGAUUCAUUGCUUUGAUGCUAAGACGUUGGUGGAGGAAUACAAUAUCCACACUAACUCCAUCGCGUAUGGCUCAUUGGGUGUUGGAUAUGGUCCUCUUGCCGUUGGUCCACGAUGGAUCGCUUAUAGCGGGAGUCGUAUUGAUGAGUCUAGCUCCACGGUUUUCACUUCAGAGCUUCUCCCACUGUCAUCAUCACCCGGUGUUGCACAGUUUGCAAUAGAAUCGAGCAAACAUAUUGUAACUGGGAUAGCGAGGCUUGGAGGCAAAGGGUACAAGUCAUUGUCUAACUUCUGCGCAGAGGGUCUGCCCAAUCCGUAUCUUCCUGGCUUUAAGGGCAUUGGAGGCGGUGCUAGUGAGAAAGCGCAAGACGCUGGUGACAUAGGAAUGGUAAAACUCUCAAAUAUUCCCUCUCAAGUUGUGUUGAGUUUCCAUUGAUACAUAGACUUGGUGGUGUGUGUGUGUGUGUGUGCAGGUUAUAAUCAGUGAUGUUAUAAGCAAAAGCGUGAUAUGUCAGUUUAAGGCACACAAGAAUCCGAUUUCAGCUUUGAGCUUUGAUCCGAGUGGGAUGCUUUUGGUGUCUGCUUCGACUCAGGGCCACAACAUUAACGUGUUCAAGAUAAUGCCGAGAAUCUCUAACACUAGUGAUGCGCCGCCCAUAGAGUGUUUUAUGCAUCUGUUCAGGCUCCAUCGUGGCUAUACUUAUGCGGUAAGCAGAGAGCUCUUCACUUUCCUGUAUUUUAAAAAGUAUUAUUAUUGAUAUUUUUGUUCUUGCAGGUGAUACAAGACAUGAGUUUCAGCAAUGAUAGCAGUUUGAUAGUGGUUAGCUCGUCAAGAGGGACAAGUCAUGUGUUUGAGAUCAAUCCCGAGAGAGAGGCGCAUAUUCCUGUAACUCUGUCACCUGUUAUUAGGAUAAGAAGCCGAGACAUCAGCGGAUGGAUGGGGACAGUGAGCGGUGCUGCAGCUGCGGCAGCUGGAAUGGUUGGAGGAGGAGGAGGAGGCUCUCUUCAGGGUUCAACCACAUCAACUUUCAGCUACUGCGUUGAACAGCAGAAUAAGAACACUCACUAUGGUUCUACUGCUUCUGAUAAUAGUAGCGUAACGAGGAAUCUACUGGUUUUUGCUCCUUCUGGAUGUAUGACACAGUAUGCGUUAAAGGCUGGGGAGGGUGGUGAGGCUUUGGUGAUGACGGGGAUUGAUUCCGAGUCUGGUGCAGAGACUGAAGGACCGGUUGUGAGGAUACGAAGGUGGUACAUGGUCCAAAACCGAUCUAGAAGAGAGAUGCAAGAUCAGCAGAGGGACGUAUAUGGAGGAGGUGGAGCAACUUCGGGUUCUGGAAGUAACGUGUUUCCGGAGAUUGUUAGAAAGGAGAGUGCUGAGGAGGAACCUUGGAAAGCAAAUAAGAAAGGAAAGGCCCGUCGUGUGGUGGAUAACAACCAUCAGCUGUACGUGUCUCAAACAGAGUUGCGAAUGUAUCAGCCGUCUCACCUACCCUUAUGGGAAUGGGACAAUGUAAAAGUUUCCUUCCUCUUCUCUUCUUGUUUUUUUUUGUUAAGGAUGUGUUGUGUGGAUGUGGCUGAGACUGUGUGUUUUGCAACAAAACAGUGUAGGUUUGAGAAGUUGGUAUUGGAUGUGGAUGAAGAGAGUAAUGGGGAGAUGGAGAUUGAAAAAAUCAAAGGUCAAACGAUUGAAGCAAGAACAAGAGGUUCGCAUCCAGUCUGGGGUUGAAGAGGAGGAGAGUUGCAUUAGAAGAAGGAAGGUGAUAUGCUGCUUUUGGUUUUAUUGUUUCUUCACCAUAAACUCAGCUUCAAGUUCAGCGAUAGGACUACAAAAAUAACUGUGGAAAAUUGUAUAGAAAAUUAGAAAAGUUGGCAUACCUUUUAGAUGUAAAUAGCUAGCAGUAUAGUCUUCUUUGGUUACAGGUUGACCCCAUUAUAUUGAUUCAUGAAGUGCAUCUUCUUUGGAUGUAAGCGUAAUAAGAAAAAGAAAAAAAAGAAGGUUUUUGCCAUUUUUGCUGCACCUUUAUAAUGUGUGUGUGUGUGUUUACAAAGUAAAAAAAACAACAGAAAAGACUGUUACAAAAUGAAUAGAACAGACGCAAACAAGUGUUCCGUUGGGAAGUGAACUUCGGCAGCGCUAUGAGCCAUGGGGACAGGGUUUUCGCUGUUGCUGAUAACGAAAGUCCUUCCAAUCACAGCGCCUGAGAUGGAGACGGUCACGCAAGGGUCGGGUCGCUUGUGAUCUUGGAGGGCUUCUCAUCUUUAGAACUGUUCCUCCUGGUUUAACCCAAAUGUCUAAGUUACCGUGCAGCAGCCUCUACACGUAAAGAUCCGCUGCUGGUGACAAAGGGCACGGACUGCUGGCCGAAACCGUGGCUUGAUCCUCCUCUCAUUGAGAUUAUCAAACACUUGGCGAGCAAUCAAGAUUGAGAUUAAAGAUUGCAGCUUUAAUUAAUUUAAUUUAAUUAAUUAACGAGUGAGUGACGAAGAAGAAGACUUCAACUUUGGUUCGGCUGCUCAUGAUGAUAGUCGUUUUUUGAUUACUACACCAUUAUCUAAGUUAAAUCACAUAAGGAGAGUAAUUAACAAAUUUGGACGUUUUCUAUUAGUGGGAAAGAAAGUUUCUUCGUUGAAAAUUUUAUUUAAUUAUGAACCAUAGUUUUCAAACAGCUACGGAUGGUAUAUAUAUGAUGAAUUCAAAUUAAAUCACUUGUUGUCCGAGCAAAUAUCAUACGGAAAGAAAAGAAAUAUGACUUUAUAAAGAACUAAAAGUUACAUCCAACGGAUGUACUUUGAAAUUGAAUAGAGGUUUGGAAAAUAUCAAAUACCGUGUUGAAAAAGUAACAUAGCUAGACAGUAUGUAACCACAAAACUAUAAUUUUAUUAUAUAUAAAUAAAUAAACUGAAAAACUCCACUGUUUAAUAUUGCAGCGUUACAUUAUUGAUAUGCUAUUCGAUAUAGAUAAAUAAUUUAGAAUUUUCAUCACCUGUUAAAAAAAGACAAAAUUUUCAUAAAACAAAACAAUAGUUAAACAAAAAUACUUAUAAACCACCAUCAUCGGGCACAACUUGUUGGCGGUUGCCGCCACACCAAAUCCAUCCAAAAUGCCAGAGAACAGCCAAGAUGAUUAAACAGGCCACAAUAGCGGCAGUUAUGAUGUAACCAAUCGAAGCCCCCAUAUUAUUUCUUCAAAAAACCAAAAACUUGUUCUUUCUAACUUUAUUUUUCUUCUUUUAAGUUCAAGAGAGAACUAGCUUUAUAUAUAAAGAUGGUUAACCUUAUUAAAAUAGAAAAAAAGUUAGACAUGGAAAAUGAAAAAUUCUAUUUCAAAAAUAAAAGAAAUCUUCUAAAUCUCUUGAAAGUCUUUGGCUUUUUUUUAAAAGAAAUUUGGUAAAAUAUGUAAAUCAUGCAUAUAUCAUUAAGAAUUAUUAACCAAAAAAAAACUGGAAAUUUUACAUAAGUCAUUCACAAACGUUUGAUGACAUAUUUUUAAGCUAUUUGAUCGAAUAUGUCGUUAAAAAAAAGCAAGGACUACGAAAAUUUGGAAAUUUAACAUUUUAUGGUUCUCUAUAAAAGUAAAGUAUUUUUACUUGUUAUUUUUUCUUUUUCUUGUAUAUAAUGAAUUCAAAUUAAAUCACUCAUGGCCUUAGAAAAUAAUCAUUGUCUUAAAAAUAAAAACUAAUGUACAUAAGACAGAAGUAAAAUUUGAAACUGAAUAGAGGUUUGGUCCUUUUUGGAAACGAAGAGUAACGUGUUUGUAUAAUUUUCUUGACCUAGUGUUCGUAUGUUUAUCAUAGUCAAAAAUUUGUUAGGUUAUGCUUUUGAAUUCAUUUGGCUUGCCUAUCAUAUUAUAAAGUCUUGUGGCUCAUACUGUCCAUCAAGUCCAACUUCCACAAGUGCCUUGUGGAUGGUUUGAUACAUCAUUUGCAUGGUUUUGUGCUGCAAUUAUCAUGAAAAAGAUGUCAGUAUUAAUCGAGAUUACAUCAUUUAGCAAAUAAUGGACAAACUAUUUUACCUGCCAGUAUAGAAUCCUCUGUAUAGGGUUACUUGUUGGAGCACCUUCUGGCCACAUUGGAAUGACAAUGUAAGCAGCAAACUUCCCCCUUGCUCUAAUUUUGUUAGCAAUCUUUAGCGCGAUUUCAAUAGGGAUUAGAUUGUUUGCACCUGCAAUACCAAAACUCCUUUGUUAUUACAGCAACUAUUGAGUAACUGAACUUUCCCUUAAAAGCUCACAGUUACUUACCCAAGUCCUUGUUUGAAUCCCAGUUGAAUGAUCGAUGAUCCAAGAAAAUAUUGGUUCACAAUGUAGAUGAAAUGCUGAGCAGAUCUUAUGGCCUUAACAUAAGCUGCAUGUAUGCUCAUGUUAAUGAGUAUGUUCUUCCCACACAAAAGAUUCUGACCACAAACAUGUAUAUAUUAGAAGAAGAACCUUCUGAUAGUCCUAUCAAAUGCAGAGUAUCAAAGAGAGAUUAACCAUCAGAUUCAUCAUUGUCCAUCUAGUGUUAAUUAGGUUCAAAGCCGUCAAGGCUCUGUGGUAUCUGUAAUGUAACUCAAUUAUCUGAAUUCAUAGAGCCUUGGAUUGACAAGCAAGAAAAGAUACUGUAAGAAAACAAACUCGAGUUUCCCUAAAAGAAUCAUGUUAUAGAGUCUGUAACUUGUGAAUAUAUUUAAGUGUUGGUAGAUUCCUAUAUACGGCUUGCUUUGGUUACGUUGAUCUCAUUGUCUCAUUCUCUUCAUAUAAUGUAUGUUAACAUGAUCUAACACAUAUAAACUGAGCUUUUAUAUACAAAAUCAUGCAAGAUAUUAGAUUGGAACUUGUACGUUAUCAAGGCUGUAUUACCUAGGCCCCGAAGGUAUCCAUAACUAGCAGAAAACUGAAGCGUGCAGAACAGAACUAACCAAGGAAAGGCUAAAGUAGUACUACAAAAAGACCUGCGCUAAAUUUACAAAAUUACUUUGUUUUUGGUGGGGGCGAGAUUGAAUAACUCACGAGAAAUGUGUAGCUGUCUAAAUUAUCGAAGAAAUUAGUCCUCAAAAAGUAAAUUCCGAAGUUGAAGCUCCAAUGUCUUUGUUCAAAGACUUUAUUUAGAGGUAAAGCUAUGUCUUGUAACCACCGAAUAGCUCCUUUUCAUCUACACUCUAUAUAGGGGUGGGCGUUCGGGUAUCCGUUCGGGUUCGGAUCGGAUAUUUCGGAUUUUCGGGUAUUUCGGUAUAGAGGUGUAGAACCCGUUCGGAUAUUUCUGUACUUCGGGUCGGGUUCGGAUAUUUUUAUUUCGGGUUCGGUUAUUUCGGAUCGGGUUCGGAUAUUUAGAUUUUGAAAAAAACAAAAUUAAAUUUUCAUUUUUCAAAUUUCUUGUAUUUAAAAAUAUAACUUUCACUUCACUAAUCUUUUAUUUUUAAUAGAUUGAAUGGUUAAUAGAUUUGGACAUAACAUUUUGAAACUAAAAAACAUUAAUUUGAUUAUUGUUUUUAAAUUUUGGAUGUAACUUUUUGUUUAUUCUUGAAAUAAAAAAAUUGACAUGUAUUUUAAGUGAGUAGCAAAUCAUUUUCUCCGUAAUUGUAUGUAUAUCUUAUGAACUUAAAAUAUGUGUAGUAUCAAUAUAAAUACUUUAUAUAAAAUGAAAUAUGUAAACUAGAAAUAUAAGGUUAAUUAUACAUAUGUUCGGUUAUUUUCGGAUAUCCAUUCGGGUUCGGGUAUUAUCCGUUCGGGUUCGGAUAUCCAAUCUCUCUUAAUUCAAUACCCGUUCGGAUAUUUUGCUACUUCGGUUCGGAUUUCGGUUCGGGUUUUUCGGAUCGGGUUCGGGUGCCACUUCGGAUAUCGGGUAAAGUGCCCACCCCUAACUCUAUAUAUAUUUUAAAACAUGUGCUAAGUCUCCAAACUUAACCGGCUUAUAUCAAACUGAACCCGGUCUACGGUUAAUCAAACAACGUUCUGUUGAGCUUCCGCGGUUAUUUAUGACAUUCCGGUUUAUAAAUGACAAAAAAACGUGAGAUUCAAUGAAUUCGUAUACUUAUAAGUUAAAAGACUACGUAAACCGGACAAAACCGAAGCGUUUCAUGCAAAUACAAAACGAAAAUCACAUCACAUUUUAAACCGUAGUCUUUCUACGUCUAAGUUUCUAACAAACACACAUAACCUUUUCGUCACAUGAAUCAGAUACGAUCUGCCAUUAAUAACCUCAACAUAAAGCAAGGUUAGGUAAAUGACGUAGACCCUUUUUGAAUAAUCAUACAAUACAUAACAACGUAAGAUCCUUUUUCGACAUCCAUCUCCUUUCAGACAAAACCACGUUCAGAAAAGAACAGAGACAUAAACAGAAACAGAGAGAUGCAGUUACAUAUAUCUCCAAGCUUGAGACAAGUGACGGUCGUCAAAGGGAAAGGACUAAGAGAGUUCAUAAAAGUGAAGGUUGGUUCAAGAAGAUUCUCGUAUCAAAUGAUGUUUUAUUCUCUGCUCUUCUUCACUUUUCUUCUCCGGCUCGUCUUCGUUCUCUCCACCGUUGAUACUAUCGACGGUGCCUCUCCUUGUUCCUCUCUUGGUAACUAGUUCUUGCCCCUUCAUUUAUUUAUUUUCUAAAUCCAGAUAUUUUAAUGAAUGAACUAUUGAUUUCGUUUUCAAUAAAAACUAUUUUUUUGUUGCUCAUUUUGUCACAAUUUUUGCUAACUAAAAUAUGUAAAUACGAUUUCUGUAAAUCAUUUAUGUAAAAUAUCAAUAUAAUUUUUUUUUUAUAAACAGCUUGCUUGGGAAAAAGACUAAAGCCAAAGCUUUUAGGAAGAAGGGUUGAGACUGGUGUAAGUUACUCUAACUUCGGUUUUAGUAUCUCGAGCAUAUUAGUGUUAAAAAGUAAAUUUUCUUUGGUUAUUUAUCUUAGAAUGUCCCAGAAGCUAUGUACCAAGUUUUGGAACAGCCUCUAAGUGAAGAAGAGCUAAAAGGAAGAUCAGACAUACCACAAACACUUGAAGAUUUCAUGUCUGAAGUCAAAAGAAGCAAAUCAGACGCAAGAGAAUUUGCUCAAAAGCUUAAAGAAAUGGUGACACUGAUGGAACAGAGAACAAGAACCGCUAAGAUCCAAGAGUAUUUAUACAGACACGUCGCAUCAAGCAGCAUACCAAAACAACUUCACUGUUUAGCUCUUAAACUAGCCAACGAACAUUCCAUAAACGCAGCCGCACGUCUCCAGCUUCCAGAAGCCGAGCUAGUUCCAACCUUGGUCGAGAACAACUACUUUCACUUUGUCUUGGCUUCAGACAAUGUACUUGCAGCUUCGGUUGUGGCCAAGUCUUUGGUUCAGAACUCUUUAAGGCCUCAUAAGAUCGUUCUUCACAUCAUAACUGAUAGGAAAACUUAUUUCCCUAUGCAAGCUUGGUUCUCACUGCAUCCUCUGUCUCCAGCGGUAAUUGAGGUCAAGGCUCUGCAUCAUUUUGAUUGGUUAUCGAAAGGGAAAGUUCCGGUUUUAGAAGCUAUGGAGAAGGAUCAGAGAGUGAGGUCUCAGUUCAGAGGCGGAUCAUCGGUCAUUGUGGCUAAUAACAACGAGAACCCAGUUGUUGUUGCUGCUAAGUUACAAGCUCUUAGCCCUAAAUACAACUCCAUGAUGAAUCACAUCCGUAUUCAUCUACCAGAGGUAAACUUGAUCCGUGUGACAGUGAAGAAUGCUCUGAACAUUAGACUUACAACUUCUUUGUUGUUGCAGUUGUUUCCGAGCUUAAACAAGGUUGUGUUUCUAGACGAUGACGUUGUGAUCCAAACUGAUCUUUCACCACUUUGGGACAUUGACAUGGAUGGGAAAGUUAAUGGAGCAGUGGAGACAUGUCGAGGAGAAGACAAGUUUGUCAUGUCAAAGAAGUUCAAGAGCUACCUCAAUUUCUCAAACCCAAUAAUAGCCACAAACUUCGACCCUGAGGAAUGUGCUUGGGCUUAUGGGAUGAAUGUUUUCGAUCUAGCAGCUUGGAGAAAGACUAACAUAACCUCCACUUACUAUCAUUGGCUCGACGAGGUAAAUCAAAACCACUAACUAGCCACAACAAACACUAUCAAGCACUAGUAGUCAACUUAACUCAGCCCAUUUUUCAUGUAUAUGUUGCAGAACUUAAAGUCAGACCUGAGUUUGUGGCAGCUGGGAACUUUGCCUCCCGGGUUGAUAGCUUUCCACGGCCAUGUCCAGACCAUAGAUCCGUUCUGGCAUAUGCUUGGUCUCGGAUACCAAGAGAUAACGAGCUUCUCUGAUGCUGAAAGUGCAGCUGUUGUUCAUUUUAAUGGAAGAGCUAAGCCUUGGCUUGAUAUAGCAUUUCCUCAUCUACGUCCUCUUUGGGCUAAGUAUCUUGAUUCCUCUGAUAGGUUCAUCAAGAGCUGUCACAUUAGAGCAGCAUAAUAAUAAUCACAUAUCAAAACUCAGUUCACACGUUGGCUAAACGAACCAGAGAAGAGAUUCACAGAUCAAUUCAUAGGAGCAAACUUUUCUGCAAAUUCACUGGUCAUGUUUUUGCAUUCUCUUCUGUUUCUAAUUCUUUUGUACUUCCAAACUCUAAUGGCGAGAAGAAAAAAACACAUUCUAUAUAUUAAUUUAAGAACCAUCUGCCAAACUCUACUUAAAUUUACAUGUAAAUAGAUAACAUUGCACCAAGCAAUUGGAGUUUACAGUUGUUCAGCAGAUAACAGUUGUUCAUACGACCAUAACAAGAUAAAACAAAAGCAACGAUAAGACUAAGAAAGCCGAGAAAGUGGAGAGCAAAACAAAUGGACUUUUCAUUUCUUUUUUCAGCGGAAGCAAGAAGCAAACCAGUUGAUGAUUUUUUUUCCUCCAAGUUAAGCAACUGGUGGACGAAGGACAUGAUCCUGAGAGGUAUCCACGGAAGCAGGAGGCAUGAACUGCCACAUGGCAACUCCCGGGUAACUGAUGAAUGGCACCAUCUUGUUUCCGGGAGCUUGGCCUUGCGUAGCAGAAGCAAAAGCAGUUGGCAUCAUAGGUGGAGCUGGGAAGAAGCUUGGUUGAGGAGCAUUCAUGGCUUUCAGCUGUUGCUCCAGCUUCUCUUUCUCUGUCUUCAGCCUCUGUUUCUCAUCUCGCAGCUCGUUUUUCUCAGUCUGUUCGAGAUUCACAAGGAAACUAGUAAACAUGCAUGGUGAAAGUAUGGAUUACAAGUCGAAGAAAAAUUUAUACCUUUAACUCUUUGAUUUUUUCCUGAAGACCUGAAUUGGUGUCCUUCAACUUCUGAGCUUCGCCGCGUAGCUGUGUCACCAUGCGGACAGCAUCGACCAAGAUUGCAGCCUUGUCUGUUUUGGGAGGGUUUCCAGGCUCCAGAAUUACACUCAAUUCCAUAAACCUGUUAUUCAUUUCAAAAGGCGAUAAACUUCAGUUCCUACAGUAGGGAAGAGAAGGAUAUACAAGUUGAAAAGAUUACUUGUCAUUCAGCCUGUCUCGGCGCUGCUUCUCUCUACAUGCUUUUGAGCUAGUGGCAGAGGAUGAUUCACAUCUCGCCCUGAAAAAAAAAAGUAUUGACCAGGAUUACUUUUUCUGAUACCUUAUCAACCCAAAAAUAUUCCAAGAAAGCCAAGACAGAUCUACAGAAAAACAGCUUAACAAUGAACUGAUUUGCAGAAGUUGCUACAGUUACGUGGUCUUUUGAAAAAAGGUGCAACAGGUGGAGUUUACCAGAAGAAGGCUUACCUCUUUUUGGAGCCAGGUUCCUUGCUGGCUUCUGAAUUUCCAGCCGAACCAUCAACUCCCGCGCUGAAUCCAACAAGAACCAAAAAGUUAUUAAUAAAAUGAAAGCAAUUAAAGGGAUUUACCAUAAAUCGUUCUAACACUCAUCUAUGCCAAAGCGGAAGCUCAAGAACUUACAUAUACGCUCACUUUCAAGGAAAAAGAUUCAUUAAAAAAAAUUACAUGGUAUACUAUCCACAAAAAGAAUCUAAUUCCCAACCUAACAAAGUGAAAGAGAUCACUCGAUUCCCGAAUCAAAAACAUGUCAGGCACACACAGAGAGUUGACUUUGAGAUAAACAAACACAAGAACUCUCCUGAAGACUUAAUGUCAUUAAAACCAACUGCAAGGAUACCUCACCAGCUUAAAGAGUCAACCUUUAAGCUUAAAUUGUAUUUUUUUUUUCCGAUGACAAAGAAAGUAACAAUAAGAUCUCAGCUUCUUCUCUACAACUUAGCCAAUCAAAUUACAAAUUCCUUAAUUUGACUCCCAUUUCUUAUGAAAAAUAACAUUUUUAGGCCGAAUAUGCCAACAUGUGCGCAAGCAAUUAGGGUUGCCUUUGAUCAAAAUUGAACACUCGCAUGAGUAUACUGAUUCCUCCCAAAUGAAUCAGAAGCUGGUAAGAUCAGAUCGGAACCCUAAUUGAAUCAGUUAGAGAGAAGAGAAACCUGGAGUUAGAAGAAACGGCAAGAGGUUGGUGAACGGGCCAAGAGAAACCAGGACCUUGGAUGGUGAAGCCCCCAUAGUCCGCAUCGAUCAGGUCGGAUAUCCAAUUAGCGUUUUCGGGUGACACCAUCUCCUCCUCAAAACUCCACCGGUGGAUCGAUUUCUUCCGUUAAAAUUUGAUUGGAGCUGAAGAAAAAGAGAACUGUUGGAGGAGACCAAGUGUGGAAUAAUCUCAGGAGAUUUAGAGUUGUUUUCACGCGCAUUGCUUCUUCUCUUUUGGGCUUUCAAGGCCCAUACAUUAUAUAACACUCAUGUUUUUUUUGUAUUUUCUUUAUUAGGGAAUUUAUACUGUAAUUCAUAUUUGUAUAUAGAAAACCAUUGAUAUUCAGAGUUCGUUCAUGCCUUAAAUAUUAAAAAUAGAAUUUCUCAUUAGUAGAUUAGUGAAAAAAUCACAUAUAAAAUCUUCAUAAAACGGUUCAGUAUAUGAAAAUACAUCUCUUUAAGGCAUAAGUAAAAUUGUUAAAUGUGAAUUUUUAUAAAGUAUGUAGAGUUAUUGGUUUAUAGUUCUCAUACUUUAUUAUAAAUAAAUCCAUAUUAAAAUUAUUUUUAUAUAUGUUACUGUUACAUCAUCAUAUAUUCAUUGAAAACAAGAGUUAAAACAAACACCUAACUUGUUUUUGGUUAAAUCAGAAUGUUUGAAGCUAAGCUUCCCAAAAUAAUAGCAUUCAAUUGAUAAAAUCUAGUGCUUCCAAAGACAAUGUCAAAAUAGAUAUGCUCGACACAAUUUCAGUUUUGUCAAAUAAAAUUAUGCAGUAGAAAAUAGUAAUCAUAGUUCAACAAAAAUGAAUCCUAGGUAUGGACUAUGUGAUGAGCAAUAAACUCUAAACUGUAUUUUUUUUUUCAAAAUAGAAGUAUAUUUUUACGGCGAGCCCAAAUUAUAUUGAAUUAACUCUUAUUUGAAUUUAUUUGAAUAGCAUGUGUUUUUCAAUAUAAAUUGAACAUAUGACAUCUUACAUUCUUAUUUGAUGUCAAAUUAAUUCUCAUCUGAAGAGCAUAUUAUUCUCAAUAGGAAAUGAAUGUGACUUUUUACACAAUUAUUAAAUGAUCUAAGAGUUUUACAGAUCCAUAACUAUAUAUUACUAUUUCUCAGCUGGUUUUAAUUUUAUAUUCGUUUACUAACUAGUGUAUUGUUUUUUUUUUCUCUACUUAUAUAUAAAUUGAUAAUGAUUUCUGAUCAGGUUGGUUGUAUUUGUACCGAAAUUUAUUCGAGAACAUGCAUGGUUGGAUGGUCGUUUUGUCGUGAUCUAGGAGAGAUCACAUUCUUCUGCUUCCUCCCAUACAUACAUGGAAGUUCCAUAAGGAAUUAUUCCAAAAUACUACGAAUAUAUACAUAAAUAUAACAUAUAUGUUAGUCCGGCGUUAUCUUAAGUUAUAUAGAGUUGUUCUGAAUGUAAAAUUUCAAACGAGGUUCAAUAAGCAAACACUCCAACGAUGUGUAACAUGGUGUUUUUACGUAUUGGUUUCAUUGAUAAGUACAGUACAUAACAUAUUCUAGACACAUACAUGAUAUAUGAAUAUAAGUAGCAAUUUUUAUAUCCUUUUACAAAAAAAAAGUAAAUACUUUUUUCUUGCUUUAAGAUAACAUUGGUAUUUAACUAUUCAACUAGCUAGCAUUGUAAAUAUAGAUAUAUUUGUUAGUGUCAAAUUUUUUAAAAUGUAAAUAUAAGAUUCCCAUGACAUCUCAGGUUCAUAUAAAAACUGCUAUAUAGAGGGGUAAAUUAUAAUAGCACCUCUUCUGUUUUAUUUAUAACAAAACUAGUUAAUUCUUAAAUUAUAGCUGUAUAACAACGAAUAAUAGCAUUUAAAAAAAAAACGAAUAAUAGCAUCGUGAGCUUUUCGCAUUCGAAUAAAAUUUUGCAUAAAUGUAUCACGUAGAAGUCAACUUAUUUUCUUCGGAAAAGCUAAAUUGAUAAAUAGACUUAUCAACUACUGCUCAGGGGAUAUCCAUAGACACCGUGGGUAUAUCCUCUUAAUAUAUUAUACUAAUCUAUUAGCAAAUUUCUAUCAUGUUAUUUAUAUGUCAUCGUCCUUCUUGUCUUGAUAUCUUUUAUAUAUAGUACAUACACAAAUUUAAUCAUAUACAAAGUAAUUACAGGGGAGAUGAUCCUCUUCUUCUUAUUAUUUGAAGAAUCACAAAAAAACUAUUCCAACUACAUUUAGUUUGAAUAAAUAAUUUAUGCAAAGGUGACGUUAUAUACCAACUUGAGUAUCUUAUCUAUGAUAAACUUUCAAUAUUCUGAAUCAAAUGUAAUAUCAUAUGAGUGUUCUAUAUAUUUUAGAGUUUGACUUAUUCCGUUACCAAGUUCCGUGGAACGGUGGAAGCAUGAAUUGUGCCACUAGUGCUCCAGAUGUUUCUUAGUUUACCUUAUCCACUAAUAGGAAUUCAAGAGCAGUUGACUAUAUAAAUCAUACAAAUAAUUUAUGUACUUUCUAGGCAACAUUCGUUCAUUAUAUUCUCAUUAUAUCUGUAAUUUGUAAAGUUUGAUUUGAUUUGAUUUGGUAUCCUUUUCUAUUCAGUCAAAAAUUUUGGAUAUGUGUAACUUUAUGGAGAAAAAUAAAUAAUAAUUUGUUAUAUUUAUAAGAAAAUCACAAAUAUUAAUAUUUUUAAAAGUGAAUUUUCAUUUUGACAUGUUAUAUGCAUAUGUAUGUGAAUUUUUUAUAUAGAAAUUAUAAUUAUUAUAUUUUAAUGUAUAUUUUAAUUAUUACAUUUUAAUGUAAAUUUUUACAAUAUUAUCAUUUAUUAAAUUGAUUAUAUAUUACAAGAUUAUUCUAAAAGUAAUUAAAAUAUUGUUAUUUUAUAUUAAUCUGGAUUUAAAAUAAUAAUUUUAUUUAUCAAAUCAGAUGUUCAGUCAAAAUAUAUAUUUUCAGAUUAGGAGACUACAUAUUUGGAUGGUGGAAUAGUUGCGGAGCGAAUACAGACUAAUUAGCCCAAAUAAACCUUACCACUCCGCAUUAACAUUCAUCGGUAAACACGAAGGGUUCAAAUGGUCCCAUAAGAAAUUAAAGGGAAGAGUCAAUUUCUACUCUUUUUUUUUUAAAUUACACUAUUUGUGAAAAGAAAUUUAUGUGUUUAAUUCCUUGAAUUUUAAGGAACUAUAGAAAAAAAAUAUUUUUUUUAUCAAAAUUGAUAUGAAACCAAAAGAAUAAAUAUUUAUUUUCAUUCAUUUUAUUUUGUUUCUAUUCAUUUCUUUUCUACUCAUUCAUGUUCUUAUUUUAAUGGUCACCGGUUAGUGCUGAAGUAAAUAUCCGAAUUUAUAGAGAUAAUUUUUUUUUUGUUUAUAAAAUAAGAAAUACGACAGUGGAACAUUGAAAUACUAUACAUGUAUGCUGUGUUUUGUGUGGUAAUAAUGGUAUUCUAAUUACUAAAUGUUAAAUUAUUGGUAUGACAUUUUUUUUGUAAAAAGCAUUAUUUAUCAUGGUUUUUUUUCUGUCAAUGGUAUAGACACAUGCAACGUCACUAAAAACGGUACAUUUCCAUGCAUGACUUAAAAUAGUUUGGUAAGUUUCUUUUCAACAGGAAAGUAUACUAAUAUGAACUAUCAAUUUUUAGAUCAUAUAGUAUGAUCCUAUCACUAUCAAUUUUUCCCUUUUCUCAAAAAAAAAAUCACAUACGAAUACCACAAACUGUACAAAUCGAAAUGAACCUAUUGAUAAAACAAGUUGAAUUGUUUGUAAUGAGAGCCGUGCUAAAGUUGGUGAACGCCAUAACCAAGUUCUGACAAAAAUACGAACAAGUGAACAUUGUAAUCUAAAGUAAGAGGUAUAAAAUUGAUGUUUCACAACUUUUAGUUCAGAACAACCAUAAUCAUUAGUCUCGAUUUUUGAUCAAACAUUAACAUUAGACUUUUACACCAGGUUCACUGAUCAAUAACAAAGAGAAAUUAAUGUUGUGAACCCCAGAAAGAAAGAAAAAACCUGAAUCCAAACACAAGCUAAACCAAACAACAUGUAUAUAAAAAUGCUAAACCAAACUAUACAGAUUACAACCAAAAGGUCUUUGUGUGUUUUCCCGUUAGAAUCAUCUCAUCCUUCCAUCCAAAAGUACACACAUUCAUGUAAUUAACUUAAGAGAAUGAUAUGCCUUCAGCUUCACACAUCUUUCUGUUUCUCUCAUCCAAGACUCAAACGAUCCAAUGGUUUGAUGAUGUUAGUCUGCCUACGUGGAGUUCCAAUCUCACAAGCAUUCACUCUCGCUGCGAAUCUCAGCGAGCAGAGAGACUCACCGGUUGAAGAAGAUUCAGGCGCAAUGUUCACAAACAUCAGAGUCUUCGAGUCACCACCUAAGCAAGGCUGAAUAAUUACAAAUGAAGACAUAGUAAGAAACACAAUCUUUUGAUAAUAAUGUAUGUUGUUGUUUUGUAAAGUAGUUUAAGUACCUGGAGAAGAUAAGUCAGCUUCGAGUUACGGAAUGGAACAUGAUCAUCUUUCUUUGCUAAGGCGAAGAUGACAUCACCAAGAGACGACAAGCUUUUGUUGAUUGCCUAAAGAAAUAAAGAAUUUUUACUAAGCUACAGUUACAAGAAUCAUAAUGUUGUUUUAUGUUUUUCUUUAAAGAGCUUACUUGAGUUUCUUUAAGUCUAUCUCCAGUUGAUCCACUCUUGGACAAACGUUCACUCCCCGCAAGAUCAAUCAGGUUCAAGACCCCUUGUACUUGCUGCUCAGUGCUCUUUAAGAAGAAGAACACAAAAAAAAACAGUUUGAUUUAUUACACAAAACAGAAGUCAAUCUCUACAAGAAAAAGAACCAGUUUGGUUAAUAGAUACCUCGUUGACACCUGAGAUUCUUAACGUGAAAACGAAAUGGCUUCUUGAAGACUGCUCGUUCAUCUGAGUCUUCCCCACCGAUCUAAAAGAAAAAGAAAAGAAAUCCAACGUUUAUAAAACCAUAACCCAUCUGUUAAUGGGUUUUUCACUUUUAGCUGUUCACCUGUUACGAGCAGCGUGAUCCAAGAGGAAUGAAACCUCUCUGGAGCUUUUAACAUCCAAGAUAGUAAGCUCAGCGACAUGCGUGUUCCCAUGAGCAUCAUGUUUAAUAGCAUGUUUCUGUGGAGAUACACCAUUGUCUGUUCUCACUGCUUCUUUGUUUGUCGACAAGAGAUCUCUGAUCGUUUCAUUGUAAAUCUCCAACAUAGAAACCUAUGCACAUGAAACAAGACUAGGUAAGUUACAUAUUGAUUUUAACCAAAAGGAUGUAUCUUACUUAUUGCCACUUACCUGCAAUUCAUACUUCCAGCCUUGAGAUCUAAGAGACUGCCUCGUUUCAAAUAUUUGCUCCAAACAUCUUGGGAUUAGUCCUUUCUCCUCAGCAUUCCCUGGCUUACCCAUCAUUGUGUAAGUCUUACCCGAACCGGUUUGUCCAUAUGCAAAAAUGCACACCUGCAAAAUGAAUUAGUAUCAGCUUAAUGCAACAAACAAACCAAUUGGUCUAGUGGUAAAGGAGUGUUUAGUAAGCACUCCGCUACUCGAGUUUAAUAAUAUUUGUUGAGAGAGACUAUUUACAUUGUUUGGAUUCGCGGUAAAGAGGUGAAACCACUUUUUUCUUUCUUAGCAAAAAAAAAAUGCAACAAACAGUAUAAUAGAAUUUGUUUCCAUUUACAUUACCUUGUAACCAUCGAGAGCACUUUGAACGAGCUGAGAGAUCUCUAUGAAAACGUCUUCUUGUGUUGUAUUAGGCAGAAACACCUUAUCAAAUGUGAACGAAUGCUUUUGCGCUGCCCAUAGCAAACACACACAACAACAAAUGUUUUUUUAAAUAAAACUGUGUCAUUUCCACAAGAGCCAGAGGUUUUAAUUAGUUUCAUACCAUUUUGCAUCAAGUCAAUACCGCGACCAAGUAGUUCUAGAGAUGCAGGGUAAGAAAUGGUCUUCCCCUCAUCACCGUUGUUCUCUCCUGGUAAUAGAGGUCUAACUCUACAGAACACACGUAUGUUCCCUUUCAGUUCCUGUAAGAUGAGAACAAAAAAAACAAUGAUCAGACAAAAGCUUACACAAAAGGUGGCAGAGGUUACUUAAAGAGGAUCAUACAAGAAUAGUAUUGUGUAGCUUCUUCCUUAGUUUCUCUCCUUCAACGAGUUUAAGCUCUGCUUCUUCUACGCGGCUUUUCAGAUCGAUAAUGGUUUGCUUCUGGUCCUCAAACUCGUUCAUUUUCUCAAAUGUAGUUAGAUCAGACAUCUAAUAAACCAUUAAAAAAUCAAAAAUGGUAUCAGAAAACUUGGAAAAAAUAUAAUGCAGUCACUUGAGAAAUGUGAUGAAACCUGAAGUCUCCUAUCACAAGAUACUAGUCGAUCUUGCAGCUCCUUUAUCUGGUUACUCUGGGAAGAACAAGUGGUCUGCACCAAAAAUUUAACAUCAUCUUAGUAGAAAACAUUCGGCAGUAGAUCUUGGUAAGAAAAUAUGAAAGGUUAUGAAACCUCGAGCUCGGUUAUGGUGUCUUUGAAGUCAUUGUACUUGUUUGCUUCUGUUUGUAAAGUUUUUAACUCGGUUAAAUGGUGGUCACGUUCAUCUUUAGCCUGCUGAAGCUCCACCUUGAGGCUCGCAAUUUCGUUUACCAGUUCAGCUUUCUGCUUCAUGAUAUCAUCUUGAGAGGCCUAGCCAAGCAAAGAAACAAGACAGACAGUCACAUUCUGAUGACUACUAACAUAUACUCUCUCUGUUUCCGAGAGUAAGAUUUUUUAGAUUUUUUUUUGUUCAACAAAGAUAUAUUUUCUAUAAGGUACUUUUAAUAAUUGAUGUUAAUAAACUGUAUACUUUCAAUAAACACUAAUUGAGAAUAUUUCAACUGAUUAAAUCUUAUUGGUUGACUGUUAUUGGAUAUAAAUAAAUAAAAUAGUUAAUUAUAAACAUUCAUUAUAUUUUAAUAUGCUUGAAAACUUUUAAAAAAAUCCUUCUUUUAGGAACGGAAUGAGUACUAUCUAUUGGUCGAAUUAAAAUAGAGAGCAUUGACCACCUUAGAAGCAACAAGCUGAUCCUGCAAUGCUGAGAACUGACCCUUCAAGUUGCCAAUGUUCUCAACAAUCUCAGUCCUUUCUUUCUCGCCGCGUUUUAUAGUUUCAUGAGCUUCAUCAAGAUCACCUUGUAGCUUGCUGUUAUACAGCUGCAAGCUUGAGUUAUACUCUUGCAACAGUUUGUACAUGUCAUUUACAGAUUGUAUCUGAACAAAACCCCACAAAAAAAAUGUCAUUAGGUGAAAUCAUCUUAACAUUUCAGAUCUUCUUUUUUUUUAGCUUCCUCACCCUUUGAUUAGCUGUUUGAAGCUCUCCUUGUGCUUUUCCUAGCUCUUCAGUGAGACCGCCUUGUGCCUUUUCAACAGCAAGUCUUGCUUCUUUCUCUUUUCCAAGAGAAUCAUUUGCAGCCUAAAAGCAAAUUAAAACAUCAGACAACACAAGUGUUUUAACUAGAAAAACAAGCAGCUUUCUUACCAACUUCUCUGUUUGUUCCUUGGCAAGUUGAAUUUGAGCAGAUUCAAAAUUCUUCCUCAGUUCCUCAAUGAUCAUAUUCAGCUCCUCUUCUUUGUUUUUCAAGCUAGCCUCUGUCAUCAAAUUGCAAUAAUUUUGAAGUUUAAAUCCCAAAACUUCAACAAACUAAAAUCUAAUUUUUAAAACGCACCCAUAUCAGCACAAUGCUUCUCAUUCAAUACCAAAGCGUUCUUCAACUUCUCUUGCUCAAAAGCGUAGUCCAGCUCAAGUUCUUGAAACCAUCUGAUGCAAAGUCUAAGUCUUUUUAUAUAUUCCAUCAUGUUCUCACAUCUCUCCUGCGAAACCAACCACCAAACCAAGGAGAAAAUUCAAAAUUCUCAGACCAAAAAUGGUCAAACACAUAAACAAAAAGUCUUUAAUGCUCAUAUCAAACAGACAAAAACUAUUUUGUCCCCACAAGUUGUCUUAUAACAUUUCAAAUCUUCUUCAAAACCCAACAGAUCCAAUGAGAAAAGCCAGUAAGCAAACUGAAAGUGAACCCCCCUAAGAGAUUGAACCACAAAGGAUCAACACAUACAACAAAGUCUUCAAUGCUAAUGCCAACCAAAGGUCCCACAAAAUGAACCAACAAGAAAAGCCAGUAAAACUAUAUAAAACUCAAAAAUUCUUUAAUCAAGAUUUAGUAACUUAAACUCUUUGGUAUUAAGAUUCCUAAUUGAUAUGCUUAUCCAUUACCACAACACAAUCAAAUUCAAACACUUAAAAAAAAAAAAAGAUAAAGAUAUAUUCAGUGAGCGUGCAAACAAAAGGUAGAAACCUUGUAGUUGAACUUGCUCUUGUACUUGAUUCGCUCAUUAAGAAGAGCUUCAACGUCUUCUCUUGUGAACUCAACCUGACCACAUUCAGAUCCCGCCGUGCUCACCGGAGCACUGUCCGGCGUCAGAUCUUUAGACCCAUUCGCCACCGGAAAAGCUGGCCGGAUUCUUCCAUUGUUUGCCAUCGUCCCCACCAUAACAGAGGAAGACUUGUUCUCUCUUCUUGUUAAUUAACUACUUCUCAAGUCUCUCUCUUUUCUACCAAUCAAAGUAUAAACCUGCAACAAAGGGUAGAGAUCUUUAGACUUAAAUGUAAAUGAUAAAUUGAGUAAAAAGAUUUAAAUGAAGGAAAAAGAAGGAAACCCGUGAAGAUGGUGUAACUAAACCAUUGAUUUGAACGAGAAACAGAGCAUUUUGAGGAUAAAUAUUGAGACUUUAAGAGAGAAGGAUGAAAAGUAAAGAAACCCACUGAUCUUAAAGAAUGAAUGUGGAAGACAUGUUCAGAUUUGUGAGAGCUGUUGAGAGUGGAGGAACACGAAAUAUUGGAUCUUUGAGCAUUUAAGAAGGUUUUUGUAAUAAAGGAUUUGGGUUUAGAAAUGGAGGCACGUUUCAGUUCUGUUCUUCUGGUCUCUUCUUGCUGCUGCUGUGGCAACUUGUUUUCUAUAUUUGUUGGUUUGAAUGUUCAAAGAGAGAGAGAGAGAGAGGUGAGAGAGAUGAACGUGGGGCCGUUGAUUGGAUCUGAAGUCACCGAGGUGAUGCAAUCACAGCCGUUGCUUUGUUAAGCAGCAAACAGAUGGACCAAAGGGCAGUGUGGGUAAGGUAAGUGGACUUGAUUAUGACUUUAAUCCAUACAUCCAAAUAAUUAGUUAAUUCUGAUUAGUAACACAGAAAACGUAACAUUCCUCAAGAUCAGGAUUUUAUGUCAAGAAAAAAAAUAAACAAUAGUUUGCAAAAUAUUCAUUAUGAAAAAUAUUUUCUAUAUUGUAAAAAUGAUUCAUCUAGGAUUUUUUCUUCAGUUAAAAAUUAGUUUACACAAGUGUUUAUUUGUAUUUUCUUUCCAAACAGAUUUUUAAAAAUAUUUUUAAAAUAUGUAUUUUUUUUUUUUGACAACAAAAUAUACAAACGCCGUCUGUGGUAAUCGAACCCACGGCCACGGGAUUAAAAGUCACGCGCUCUACCACUGAGCUAAGACGGCUUCCUUUAAAAUAUGUAUCUAAUAAAUAGAACACACAAGUAAAAACCAUAUUCAUAAUAAAGGUUAAGUGAUAUAUAUAUCAAAUUUUUGUAAGUUAUUUUAAAUAUCAUUAUUUAUGUUUAAAUUUCAAAAAUAAGAAUUUUAUAUUAUGUUGUAAUUUAAUACUCCAUCUUUUUUUAUUUGGCAUUGUAGACUUGUACACAUAAAUUAAAAAAAUAUUUAAUUUUGUAUAUUUCAUAUACAAAAACAUCAUGAACUAUACACUUAACCAUAGUUCAAUCAAUUAGAAAAAUAAACUACAUAAUAUAAAGAGUCAUAUAACAUGUAAAGUUAAUAGAUUUUGUAUUAAAUUUUAAAAGAGAAAAAGACUAGGAUAGCACCAAACCAAGUUUUUGUUCCCAAAGUAGCACUCAAGGUUCAAAGUCACAAAAAUAGGUUUCGUUAAAGAGGUAAAUAUACACUUAUACCUCUUGGGUUAAUUAAUCCAAAUCUUAGGGUUUAGAGUUAAGGGGUGGGGUUUUGGAAUUAGGGUUUAAAAUUUUAUAAAAAAAUAAAUACUAAAAUAAAAAAUAAAAAUUUUAAAAACAGUUUCAAAAAGUAUUUUUAAAUUAUAAAAAAAAAUUUGAAAAAAAAAAUAAAAAAAUUCGAAAAAAAAUUUCAAAAAAAAAAUUAUAAAAAUUUCGAAUCUAAAAACACAUAAUCUGAAACUAUAAAAAAAUUUAUUUUUUUUUUUUUUAUUUUUAUUUUAUUUAUUUUUAUUUAUUUUUGUUUGUUUAUUUAAUUUUAAACCAAGGGUGUUAGGGAUAUUUUACCCUUUAAUGAAUGUCAUUUUUGUGACUUUCUCCUUCUAGUGCUAUUUUGAGACAUAAACUUCAAAAGGUGCUAUUAUUGACAAUUGCCCAUUUUAAAAUGUCAUUUACUUUGAAAUAUUAAAAAAAUUCUAAAACGUUAUUUAUUUAUUUUCUUAAAGAAAAAAUCAGUUAUUAAAAAUGAAGAGAAUAUUGUUUAGUACACAUUUUGAUAUUUAAGAGAAAGGAAAAAACUCAAAAUGAGUCAAAGCCCAAAAAUUUAGAUGGAAUCUUCUUGUUUGGUUUUAAUUUUUAAACAAGAUGUAAAAUACGUUACCAUAUGCUGUAUCGGUAAUCUCACAUAUUUAAAACGAUUUAAGAACAAAAAUUAAGAAAAGCUAACAAUAACGUGUCGGCAAAAUGUGAUAUGUCAACAUUUUUAGACAAUAGAUUCCUUUCAGGAAAAAUGGAUAUUUUAUUUUACCGAAAUUACCCUUAGCAUCGUUUCAAAUUGCUAAAAGUAGUCACGUUUCUGGUUUGAAAAGGUAUGGGCUAAAAUUGUCCGAAUGAAAAAUUGUCUUUUGUCGUAUAGUUCUUUAGAUUCUGUCUCGAACCCUGACGAGAUGUCAAAUUUCAUGUGAAACUCUUAUGGUCCGAGGGGUCCGAGGAGCAAGCUCUAUUGGCAGUUGAAAUAUCGUCGUUGAUGAGGUUAUGAAAUUGACGUAAUUGAAUACUCUUAAGCAUUGAAUUAAAACGACAUUUUAUGGUAAGAUCAUAUUACUAUAGCUUUGGGGGUUCAAAAAAGGUAAAUUGUAUGAUGUCAAGAAAAGAGGGUAAAAUGUAUAUCAUUUUAUAUAUCAGCAAUUCAAAAUAAAUAAAUAAAUGUUGCUUUUUUGGUUAGUUAAUGGUUGACAAAGAAUCAUUUAGUGCAUUCGAGACUCACUAUAAUCAUUUUUAAUUUAUACACUCUAGUUACAUUCUUAAAGUUAGCAAUUCUUUUGUCUGUUUAGCACCAUAGUGUUGCAAACUUUUUUAUUCACCUUUUACAAUUUGAAGCCAUUAUGUAACUAAUUUUUUGAUUAUUGAGAUGGGUUUUGAAUUUUGCGCAUUUUAUACGGAUAUUAAAAUGAAAAAAUAUAUGUACCUGGAUAACGCACACACUGAUAGGGAUGAGUUCGUAUAGCCAUUCGGGUUCGGAUCGGAUAUAAAACCCGUUUGGAUUUUUCAGACCGGGUUCGGGUAAUUUUAGUUCGACUUCGGUUAUUUUGUGUCGGAUUCGGAUAUUUUAGAGUGAAAGAAAAAAUUAAAAUUUUCAUUUUUAAGUUUUUGUAUUUAAAAGUAUAACUUUCACCUAACUGAUUUUUUUUAUCUUUAAUAAAUUGAAUGAUUAAUAGAUUUGGAGAUAACAUUUCAAAAAUAAAAAAACAAUAUUUUUAAAUUUUGGAUGUAACUUUUGUUAAUACAUGAAAUAUAAAGUUUGACAUGCAUUUUAAGUAAGUAUCAAAUCAUUUUGUCCGUAAUUAUAUGUAAAUUAUAUGAUUUUAAAGUAUAUGUAACAUCAAUAUAAAAUAUUUUAAAUAAAAUAAGAGAUGUAAACUAAAAAUAUAAGGUUGAGUAUACAUAUGUUCGGAUAUCUAUUCGAGUUCAGAUAUUACCGUUCAGAUUCAAAUAUCUUAAUCUUUCCUAAAUCAAUAUCCGCUUAGGUAUUUUUACUAUUUCCAUUUGGUUUUUAGUUCGAGUUUUUUGGAUCGGGUUCGGAUACGGGUUCGGUAUCGGAUAAAAUAUCCAGGCCUGCAUACUGAUACUACUUCAUGCAAAGGUGAUUAAUAGGGUGAUGCAAGGAUCUCGCCAAAUCUGAAAUAGUCAAACUGUAUCCUGUAAAUUACAAUAAACUAAUAUAAUUAAAUGUAUUAGAUUGCGUUUUUCUAUUAAAAUCGUGGCUUCGAAUGUCAAGUUGAAAUGGUCUGGAAAUCCAAGUUUGCUAACUGGUAUAAUAUCUUAAAAUAAAAUGCGUUUCGUUGUGAACAAAAGAAAUGCGUUUCGUAGUUAUAUUUAUAAUUUUAAUGAUUUGUGGUCUGCAUGUAGUUUGUAUUUGGAAUUUUGUUGUUCCAGGAAAUGGUCUACAGAUUUUUUAUAAUAAUUAAAAUACUAAUUUGAUUCCUGGUUCCUGGUCGUAAUAUGUUUUAAUCUCAUUUACAUUUAAUCUUAUGUUCUCCUUAGUUUAAGAAUUUGUUUCAUAUAAUUUAUUUCUUUGCGUCAAAUGGGUGCCAAGUAUAUUUUCCCUUUUUCUUUACAACUUUAUUAUAACGUGAAUUUGUUCAUACUUCAGUGUUAAGCCAUGAUUUUGUACUCCCACUCAUCUAAUUGAAUCAAAUUAUAUACUAAGUAUUAUAUCUUCAGAAUCUAAAAUAAACCAUGUAUAACAUGAAAUCGUGAUAUAUAGUUAUAGACAAUCUACUAUUUGCAACAUACUAAUUAAAUCAUUAUAGAAACAGACUAUUCAAUCUAUAGCACACAAAAACUGUCAGAAAAUGGAUUUAAAAAAAAACUCUCAGAAAACUAAAAUCCGUCAUUUGAAAUUCUUAUAUACAUUUAAACUAUUAAAUCCAAAAUAUAUGUCUAGACGUUUAUAUGGACAAACGGCAAGAUAAUGAUAUUUAUUCAGAAAUUUGUUUUUAUUUUUGUUCGUGUACAGUUUUCUAUAUUAAAAUAGAAGUUAAGGAAGUGCACCAAACACUUCACAUGAAGAAAGGGUUGUUGCCAAAUCUUUUUUCAAUUUAUGGUCGAGAGCUCCAAAGUUUUCAUCGAAAGUCAUUUUCUCACAUCAAACCUAGACCUACUUCUUCGGUUAAAAAUUUAGUCUAGUACUGUUCUGUUAUAUACUUAACUUGUUCCAUUAACGCACUAUGUCAUACUUUUUAAUAUAUGUAAUAGUAAUUACUCUUAUUUCAUUUUCUCCUAAUCGGUAUAUCGACCUCCCGCAUCUAUUAUAGAGUAGAAAAGUAACUACUGGAUCGUUGCGUUGGAAUGUAAGAGGGAAUUGCUAAGAUGGUGAAAAAUGUAUAUCAUGGGAAGAAUGUUCAGAUCUGAGAUGGAUUGUACUACUUUACAUUUAGUUUCUCUAUAAUCGUAAUUGAGUGUUUUCUUGAGUCUAGUUCCAUUCUCCAUAUGCCUAAACAGUCCACACUUUGAUCUAGAUUCAGUGACUUACUAUACUUGUUGCAGUUGUCCGUGUGUAUACGUGGAAAGAUAUUCGUCGAACAUAUCAAGCAAAAAGUAAUAAUAAUCGACAACCGUGAUAAAGCUGACAUUUAAUACUAAUAAAAAUGAAGCAUCUACUACAUACCUCUACAAGUAGUUAUUGAUAUGAGACAACAAUUCGUUUGGAUUUUGGUUUUAUGCUCAACAGAGAAUGAAAAUGCCGAUGGAUAUUUGAAUAUAGUCACAAUUUUGUGGAAACAAGGGACUCAAUACUUUAUAAGAAUUGCUUAUAUUGGUGAUGAGUAAUGUCUACUACGUGUAACUUAAUUAAAUUUGCAAAUAGUUUUUUUCAACAGAUUUUUCAAUAUAUCUAGUGAGAAAAUAGAAUCCAAUGCAUCAAUGUUGCCUGACCUAAAGACGCAUGUAGUUUGAGACAUACGUAAUUCCAGUAUGUUUGCGUCAAUUUGGUUACGUUGGUGAUUGAGUAUUCUACCUAUUAAGAAUGGUUCCUAAACCUAAUCAUAAUCUUUUUUUUGUUGUUGUUUUGGGUACAUUGAUUCAACGACCACAAACGUGAGUAAACUCAAUUUACCAAACCAAACCAAACUAAAACCGAACCAAAUUAAUUUGGAUUGACUUUUGUUAAUUUUUUCUUAGACCCACGUAACUCAAACCAAACUAAACUCAAACCAAACCCGUAGCUAAACCGAAAUGCCCACCCCUAGCACGUACUAGAUUCAAUGACCACAAACGUGAGUAAACUCAAUUUGCCAUAUGUUUUGAUAUUCGCUGACCAUUUUCACCGGUUCCAAGAAACAUUGUGUUUACUGUCUCUGUCUGUAAGUAGAAGUACGCUGAUACUGAAAUCAGGAGUUAGGAUAUAAAAGAUUAUAGGCUUUCAUUAGAAACUAAGCUUACUUCUUGUUGGGUUUAUAUAUUUGUGUGUUAAUAAUAUAAGUGUUAUCUUUGAGGUAUUAGACUAGGCUCAGUUUGGGCUUAAAUGUUUUUCCAACUUGGGCUUGUUAAUUCCGGUAAAUACCUUCUCGUUUGAUAAAUAAUUCGCAUGCCAUUUAGGCAUUUAGGGUCCCUUAAUAAUACCCAAAACAUGCAUCUAGAGAUAUAUGAAAAACAUGCUUCAACACUCGCCGUGCCAGAAUUUUGGAACUGACUGCAAUGAGCUGAUUGCAAUGAUAAAUGAACUCCAGGAGUGGCCAACAUUUGCGACAGAGCUGGAGAAGAUAGAGACGCGGCAGAUUUGUUUUCCGGAUUUCAAAAUCACCCAUGUACCACGAGUGCGCAAUCAGCUUCCUGAUUUUUUAGCUAAGACUGCUAGGAGCUUUCGUAGAGAGUUAUUUUUCAUUGGUUGUUAUAUUCCGGUCUGGUUACCCAGACCACCUCAAGCUUGAGUAAUAGAAUGGCGUUUGACGUCAAAAAAAAAAAAUAAUAAUACCCAAAACAUGCAUCUAGCGCACUUUCACCGUAUGCAAUAGUAAAAAAUUACUCCAGUAACAUGUGUAAUCCCUGUAAUGAUUAGUCUAUGAUCGAUAUAAUCAUAUAGUCUCUGUAACAUAUACGAUUUUCCGCUCAAAUAUAGUAUAUACGCAUGUAUAGUAUCGUUCAUGAUCUUUGUGUGUCCACCACAGAAAAGUAUUACAUAUCAUUCUAUAUAAGAAAAACUAAAAUUAAUGCUCAUCAACGGAUGACACAACAUUAUUAAAACUUGUUCUUGGGGAUUUUGAUCUCUAAGAAAGAGUAACCGUCUUUGUUUGAGAUGAAAGCUUCGGAGUUUUUGAGGUCGGCAUCGCCGGGAAGCUCGAGACGGCGGACGUAGCCGUAUUCCCACCACCGGCCGCUUCUCCAAUCGCCGUUGGCCGCCGUUUUCCAUUGGCCGCUAAUCUCCAUCACUUUUCCAUUAACGUCCACAUACACCUGCACGUUAUUUUUCCCCACCACUAAUAUACAAGAGUAUCAGAAAAAAUUUCUGAUCAGUUUUUCUUGAACCCUCUAGAAAAGGAUGACAUAUUAUAGUUAUUUGAUAUGAUUUCAUUUAUUUCCGUAUUUCUCAUUAGAUUAGUACGUAAAGCUGUACGAUUCGAUACACUUGAUUAAAAAGAUAUUGUAACUAAAAAGAAAACCAAUCUAUUUAUAUAUAGUAUAAGUGUUCUGUUUAUGUAAACGAAAACAAAUUCAAUUCAUUUUUUUUGGUUAUAAACUAACAUCCAAUUGAUUUUUUAUAUCAGUUUUUUUUUUCUUUCGGAUCAGAUACAUGUAUAAAACAAUAUAUAUGUCAUUUUCUCUUCAAAAACUAAAAAAUAAAUAGAGAAUGGUAAGAAAAUAUAUACCGGGGAGGUCAGAUUUAAGGACAUAUGCUUGAUCGGUUUCAGACCAGUCGACUCUACACUGUCCUAAGCUCCUGAGGCUCCCCAGCAAAACAUCCGCCUCGAAUUCCCAUAAAGGAAACGCAUCUGACGGAUCAAAGUACUUUCCGAACAAAAACGGGCUGAAAAUAGAUCCCUCGCUGAACACAACCUUCUCCGAGCCUCCUCCGCUGCUCAAGAACCUCCGGAAAACGUCCUCGCCAAGCGGUACGCUCCACUUUCCCGGCGUCUUGUCGUCGGUGUUGAUCUCUAAUUUGAGGCUUCCACUACUCCUCGCCAUGAGAGAAAUCAAGAGAAAGAAAUUAGACGAAUAAAAAAGGAAUGUGAGUUUGUGUGUGAGAGAGUUUUGGAAUCAAGUUUUUGUUUUAUAGUAUGCGUUUUGACAUAGCUGAUAAAAAAUGAUGCAAAAAGCUUACUAAAACGAAUUUGCAAGUAAGAGACGGAAUAGUAAAAUUUAUCGUGCAUAAUAAAAAGAGAUUAUAUUUUUUUUUAUUUUCAAACAAAGAUUAUUUAUAUAUAAUUGAAGCAAAUACAUUAUUGGAGGCAGUAAAGAGAGUUUUUAAGAUUAAUUAAACAAUUGACUAAUUGAGUUAUUCUCAUUUUGCAUUACGAAACUCAAAUGUGACUGGGUGUCCAUUCCCUAUUCUUGUAUCCGAUCCUGUUUGCAGUAAUACAGUGAUAGUAGUAUUAUUUUUGUAGUAAACGUAGUUGUAUUAUUUGCAUGACUUACUUUUAUUCAUUAUUUGAUCUUUAUCAUGUGAAAAACUAUGAUGAUAUUAUCAGGUUUAACAUGUACAUGGCUAUUAACUAAAUGUGGUAUAUUUUUAAAAAUGGUAGGAAUAUAUUUAUUAUUUGACGUAUUUUUAUCGUUUUAUUUGUUUAUUAGAGUUAUUUUGUUGCCCUUUAGGUAUUGUUUAGUUAGCAAAUACUGAAAUACAGAUCAAAAUAUUAGUUAAUAGUGAAGAGAUCAUGCAUGUUAUAUACACACAAAAUAUCAAAAGACGCAUCUUGUUGAUGAAAGGAAUGUUUAUGUGGAGGUAUAUUUGUGGCAUAGUUAAAUUAAUUUUACUUUGAUUGAAUGAUAGGUCUAAAGUCAGAUUAAAGAAGACACAUAUACCAUGAAAAUGGAAAAUAUUGGGGGCUUACAUUUAUUUGAUGAAUGAUGAUAAUAAGGGGAAAAAGUUGGGAUAUAUUCUCCUUUCGCUGUGACAAUACUUUAGCGUGGUUAAAGUAAGAAGCGAAUAUGUUCUCUUUGACGUAGAAAUUGCUCGAAGGGUCACAAAGAAAUGUGCAUUUGCUUUUAGCCAUACCAUUUUGAUUCUUCAUCUUAUACCGAAAGAUGAUAUAUCAUAUAUUUUUGUUUUUAAUUCGGAUGAAAUUAAGAACGAUGAAUCUUUUAGGUAAACAUUUAAUAAGAAUAUAUUUUAGAUUACAGGGUUUUGUAGGACGAUCAAUUGCUAAUGUCCACCAAAUUAGAACAGUUUGUCUCCAUGUGAAUCAUUGACAUUAGUAACUCAUGUAAGUAGGACAUUGCUCAAAAAAAUCAUUUCACUCAGCAUGUAGGGCUGAGAUAUUCUAGUGGCAUUCUUGAAGCCCAAACCGUUCAACUCCCAUUUGGUUUCUAUAGAUCUACCCAAGUCCACUGACCACCAUGAUUAAUCUAUGAGACAUCAAUUUGACAGGUCGAGAUUAAGGGUUUCACGAGGAGAAUCAAGCUAGGAGCCGGGACUGAUGGUAGCCUAAGAGAGAUCGUGAUCCAAAGUUUGGAAUUUCCAUUGUUAACAAAACAAAAUUGCAAAAUAUUAGUGAACUUUCGUUGCCAAAUUAAUAUAUAUGCAAAGUCAUUCAAUUUAUACGCGCGUAUUUGAAUUUCUCCAAUGGCAAGAGGAAAAAUAUAGUUUCUUCUCGAAUACUUCCUCCGUUUAGAAAAAGAUCUAUAUUUUAGAAAAACAAAUUGUUUCAAAAAAAAAUAUAUGUUUUACAUUUUUAAUGUAUAAAUUAAUUGCAAAUUGUAAACUUCAAAAACACAUUGAUGUUUAUAAUGAUUUUAUUGAUUAAAAAUUGUAAAAAUAGUUGAUAACGAAAAAUAAUGCAUUGGUAUCUAAAAUAUGAUAUGUUUUCUUAAUAAGUAUGAAAAACCUAAAAUAUAAAUCUUUCUGAAACGGAUGAAGUAAUCCAUAACUCACUUUAACAAAACAAAAAUAUGGUUUUCCAACUCAUCAUUCUUUAACAAUCUUUUAAGAAAAGUAAGAAACUAGAUGUGAAAGGAAUAUCGUAUAUAAGGCAUUGUUUCGAAAAGGGAAUAGUAAAUGCAAAAUAUCGAGAUUCGAUCGAGAGAAUUCAAGAUCAUUUUUAUUUUAACUCUGCUUUCACAAAAAAAUUGACUAUGAGAGAUGGUCUAUGCAUCAUGCAUGCAUAUCUCCUCAUACCUUCGAAAAUGGUAGAAGAAACAUGGGAUAAGUUGUUUGUCAUCAGAGUUUAGAGUUCAUUUACUUUUUAUUGAUGAUAUACAAAAUUUAUCCAACCAAAAACACUUUUUAUAAUCAGAUGCUUCUAUUUUUGAUAAUUAAUCGGUACGUGCAUUAUGAAGGUAGUCAUUGCAAGUUUCUUAGGUCAAAAAAGCUAUCUUUUUUUUGAAAACUGGUUUUCAUAUUAAAAUCAAAAAAUCAAGAUAAAAACUAUCUUGCGGAGGCUUCGUGGUCACUUCGUCGAUCCUCUGUCGCAGACUCACAAGUGUGAUUUCCAGUUCUAGUAGAGAACUAGAGAUGAGAGCCUGUUCUAGAAGUUAUUGUCGACAAGUUUUGUUAGUUUUGUCAUCGGUAACGGUGUUUAACCAAAAUUUUAAUUGUUUUCCCCCGCAAAAUAUGAUAUUUUUCUUUCCAAUUUAUUGUGAAAGGUUAGCCAAGUGGAAAACUGAAUAUUUUUGGAGUCGCAUAUAAAACAAGACCCCUUUAUUCUAUUAUUCUCUUUGUCAAUCCACUCACAUUAGAGCAUGUCCAUUGAAGGUAUUUUAGUGCCCAUUUGAGCGUGUCCAUUAAAGGUAUCUUAAUGGAUAUUUCAACUCAAAAACAAUUGUCAAAAAAAUUAUUUAGACGGUUCCUGAAGCUCCUAGAGGCGGUUCUUUAGACUGGAAACCGAAUGAACGAUGGUACAUAUAAGGGUAGUGCUCAAGCCUUCAAGCUAGACUCUCUUUUGAAAUUAGCAGAUGUGAAGGGAAGUAGGGAACUGAUGGGAAACAACGCUCCUCAAUUUCGUUGUUCAAGAGAUAAUUAGAACUGAAGGAAGGAGAGCUGCUCGUACGUUGGUGAAAAGUACAAGGGAGGGACUACUUUCAUCUGAAAGCAGAAAAAGAUGAAAAGUUGUGUUUCUUUGUGAUUGUACUCUAUUUCUUGGUAAUCUUAGAUAAGUCCUGCAAAAUAGUCAGAGAAGCACGAGGAAAACCAGUAGAGAUGGCAAAAAAACAAGGUUCAACAGACUUAGCUUCUUCUGAAAUUUGAAGACAACCCCCUUCAUUAGAUCCUAGACGGAAACUGUUUCCAGCUUAUUACAAAGAGACGCAUGGACAUGGACCAGUCUAGCUAAGAUUAUAUUCAGACUAAACAAAAAAGUAUAAUCUUGGAUUUUGUUAGAUGUUAGGACGUAAAUCCUCUGCGGUUUUGCUGAAAGCUUCAUCAGAAGAUCUUUUCUUCUGUUGGGAGUGGAAUGCUGCAGAGAUGCCAGUUCUUAGUAACUGAUGAUCAGAUGAAGCCUGAAGGAACAAUCACAAAAGAGGUUUUGAGGUGAAAAAAAAGCUAGGGACUCGUUGACUUCGCCAGAAGUGACUUAUUAUUAUUCAGCCUUAGAUUUAGGAAGAAUCAUUUUCAUUUCUUCUUCUAGAUUCUUGUAACAUUAUUAUUCAUGUUGAAGUUAUAAUCUUGUGUUCAUUUUAAGUAUAAUACUUUCAUAAGUUCACUCAAACUAAAAACUUGUUGUCCAAGCAAUAGAAGGAAACAAAGCCCUAGACAAAUAAGAAACCUGUGAUCUAGCCAAUACUAUCUUAAGAUCUUAAAACCAAACAGAUUUACAGAGAAACGGUGUCCUAUAUCUUGAGUUAAAGACCUAAUCUUCCUGUUUGUUCUGGAAAAUUAGGUCUGGCAAAGUAACAGGCCGAAUAUGAGCCUGAUUCUUUUUGCUGACAAGACCAGGCGACCCAAGUUGAAGACUUAAAUAAUCAGAAACAGUUUUCAGGCAAAGUAAAUCGGAUUGAAUUACAAACUUAGCAGGCCGAGUAUGAGCCUGAUUUUUUUUUGCUGGACUCGCAACUUGUGUACAUUGUACGUAGAAAAAAAUUUCAAUUAAUUUUUGAUAAUUACCCUAAACAUAAUUUGAUAUACCAACUUCAAUACACACAAAUAAUUCAUAUAGUCAUAUGUGGCUGAGACAUUACCACUGAAAUUUGAAGUGUGAGUACUCUACACGGUCUAAUGUCUAUAUUACUACGUUGACGAACAUACAAAUCAUAUAAAACUACGUUGAAAAUACGAAAACAUCAUUAAAUAAAAGGAUAUGAAAAAGGUUUCUAUAUAUAUAAAGAGUUUACGAUAAAUAGUAUGAUAGUCUAUUAUACGAAUAGCCGAUUUUCACUCUCUCUCAUGGAUUAUGGUGGGGGAUUAGAUCGGAGAUCUUCUUUAUAAAUAUAAAAAAGGAAAGUAUUCACAUGUUUUUAGUUUUUAUUUCAGUAAUAUUUAUUAAUAAAAGUAAUACUAGUAAGAAGAUAUCAAAGGUUGGGGCAGACCAGUCAGUGUGGUGUGGGCGAAUGAAAGUCAUGUUGGUUAGGGUUUAGAGCAAAUUGGGAAACCCCGAAGGACAAAUAUAUCAGUAUGCUAUAUCAGUAUGCUUCGAAAUUCAAUUUCUAAUUUAAUGUCUUACCUUCGAAUUCAAUAAGGCUAUAACGACACCACACCUACCUCCACAACAACCCCACCCCACCCCACCCCCCCCCCCCCCCCCCCCCCCCCCCCCCCCCGCCCUCCUCUCUCUCUUCAAUAUCUACUCUUUGAUAUAUCUACAACCAACAUUUUAAAUGCACGUUGAUCCUUAAGAUUUAAAAUUCUCAAAAUUUCAUUCUUAAAGAAUAAGCAAACCUUUUAUUGUCAUUAGUCAGUCCUGCUCCAUGUUUGAAAACACUAUGAUGUAAAGACCAGUUAAAAAUGUUGCUUCAGUACAAACCGGGAGUGAGUGUAAAAUUAGUGUAUGUGUAUUGUUUUAUGUAAUCUUUCUGGUUUUGGUUUUAUGAUCUAAACACAUAAAUCUCAUGUCUCAUUCGGUUCAGAAGACCUUUUUUGUAGUUGCUUAUUUAAAUGUUAAUACUAAUUAUAGUGAUUUAACUAUUACUACUUCCGUUCCUAAAUGUAGGAUGUUUAAAAAAUAAUUUGAUGUUCCAAUAUAUAAAAUGUUUUCAUUUUUCUAGAUAACAUUUUACUUUAUUAAAAACUGUGCAACCAAUCAUAUUUGAUAAUUUAUUUUGUAAUUGGUUGAAUAACAUUAAUUUAUAGUUUUAAUGAUACUUUUCUAGAUAAAACAAUGAUUUUCUUUAAAACCGUGUUUUUACAAACAUGGAGUACUAAACAGAGUAUAGUUAUUGAUUAUCUUCCAAGAAUUGUCAGAAUGCUUCAUUUACCCUUAUGGUUAUUUAAGAGUGAAAUGACAGAUGCAAGCGGAAAGGAGUGAGUUGAAAUCAAUGUUCCUUUUUCAAACGUAGUGACUACAUAGCUAUGCUGCUACUGGAGAGUAACCCUAUUAUUUGGCUGUCACUCAAAAACAAUAAUCUUUCAUCACUACUAGGAUUAAACUUAGUUUUAGGCUUUUAGCCCGAGUAAGUUUCGGGCAUUAUAGAAUCUGAGAAUCGUUCAUAGUCCACAUUUAAAGAUUCAUCAAAUAUGACAAUUUGUUUAUUUUGUACCUUAUCCGUGGAAUCUCAGUCAAAAUCAUACAACUCAAAAUUUUAAUGUGAACCUGCCCAGUGCCAACACACAAUCUCAUUAAUUGACGUUCUUAUUAUUUACGGUAAUUAAAUCCCCUAUAUACUAAUAGAGAAACAUUUAAAAAUUUAUAAUAUGUAGUUUGUAUUAAUUAAAAAAAUGUCUUAAUGAAUUAUCACGUAAUUAGAAUUUUAAUUUUGCUUACGUGGUGAUUCGAGAAUCAAUCGAGAAUUUUAUUAGUCUAAAAUUAAAUUGCUAGGGAAUAUUAUAUUAUAUAGUAUGUCCAUUAUGGACCAUUCAUUUAUCAAAUUGAAAUUAUUAUAUAUUUUUUUCCUUAAAUAAAAUUUAUGGAAUUACCUAAUGCGAUUAAAAUAUAUACGCUAAUUAAUGAUAUAAUAAAGAUUUGCUAACAAUAUGUAUACUUUUUAUCAUUUUUGUUUAAUUAUUUAUUAUUAAAAUAAAUUACACAAUUAUAUUAAUCAUAUAAUAUAAAUUUAGAUUUUUUUUGUAUAUGUUGUAUUUUGAAUUUUCAAAACGAGUAUAAAUUACUAAAACUGUUAAAAGUCUCACAUAAACUUUUAUGAUCAAGGUUAAAAAAAAUUCUAUUAAUAAGUCUUUAUGUUAAUAUAUAUAUAUAUAUAUAUAUUAAAUAUCGUUUAAAUUAAACUAUACAUCAUAUGAAAUUACAUACUUAUAUUUUGAUAUCUGCGUUGAACAUAUAUUGAAAAGUUAAAAUUUUGAUUUUGAAAUAUUCAUUGUUUUUCUAAAUAAUUAUAAAUUAUUGAAACCACUAAACAUUUCACAUUAAAAAAUGGUUGGUGUAAAAUAUUGUUACACAAAUAUGCAAAUAAUCAUAAAAUCAUAUGAGUAGAAACUUCAUUUAAUAAAUAUCCAUAUUAAACAUAUAUUAUAUAUAUAUGUUAAUAUCAUUUAAAUUUAAUUAUAUAUCAUAUAUGAUAGAUAAGAUUGAUUGUUUUGAUUUAUUUACCCUAAAAUGAUUGCGAAUAAACAACAGUGGUCGUUUGAUUUAUAUGCGUGCGCCAAUUUAUUAAAUAAUAGUAACUGAUUUCUUAGUUAUUUAAUAUAUAAUUAUUAUUUUAUUAUUUCAUAAUAUGAAGAAAACAUAAAAUAAGUAAUAAAUAUAAAAUAUUUAUUGUGCACAAGGUGCAGAUCUUAAGCUAAGUAUGUAUCUCUUUAAUAAUUUUAAAUCUUAAACAUUUUCUAAAUCUCAGGCCAAAACAAAAUAACGAAAUGAGAAUAAACUCAAAAAUCAAUAUUCAAACAAUAACCAAAAUGAAAAAAAACACAAAAAUGAAAAAAAUAUUGAAGAUAGAUAGGAUUGACAUCUGAACCUAAAUUUCUCAUAAGCAUAAUUAACUUUUAAAUGGCUAAAUCAUGAUAUGAAACCGAGUUGACAUAGUUUCAUUGUAAUUCUUGGGCCUAAAUGUUAGGUUUUUAUGCGAUAAGUGAUUUUUUGACCUAUUUUUUUUUAAAAAAGGAUCAGCUCAUCAGUAAACAGACUAUGUAAUUAACAAAAAAGUUUUUAAAAAAUUGUUUAAGGGCCAAAAAUAUUAAUUCGAUCAAGAAUAUAAAUUUUAUUUUUGCAUACGAUAUUUCUUAAAUAAUUUUCAUAUAAAUUUACCCAGCGCAAGGCGUAUGUGUUAUCCUAGUUUCGAAAGUAUAAUAAAAACUAAAGAUUCUUUAUUGCAAACUGUAAGGUAGGAAGAUAGUGGAUGUAUCUUUUUUCAACCAAAAUUUAUUGCAAGUGAUUAGAGUAAAAGAGAUUUAGUUUAACUAGUAUCUAUCAAAGUAACACUAGAAAUGAAUAAAAAUAAUAAAAUAGUAAAAUGAACAAUUUUAUUCUAUUAUACUCUUUAAAAAUGAAAAAGAAUAUUUUUUUUAUUUUGUAUAAAUGAUGUAAUUUCUUUGGAAAGGUGAGAAAUUUAAUAUUUCUCUUCGUUCUUUAAUUACCAUUCAAAAUUAUGAAUACUAAUUCAUUAUGGAAAUUUUUUCAUGUUUACUACAUUGUUUUACUAUUAUUUAUGUUUAUCUUCACUAAACAGACAUUGUUUUACUAUUAUUUAUGUUUAUCUUCACUAAAUAGACAUUUUCAGAAAUAUCUUCUGCAUUAAGAGUCAAAAUACUCUUAUAUUCUUGGUCUAUAAUAUAUAUAAUAAAUAAUCAUUUAAAUAAAUAAAAAAUAAUUUAUUUUUAUGUUUUUGAAUUAUACUUUUUCAAAUUCGAUUUUUUUUUUAAUUUAAUUUUUGAAAUUCACAAAUUAUUUUUGAAAUUAUUUUUAAAAAAUUUUCUAAGUAUUUAUUUAUAUAUUUAUUAGAAUUCUAAACUUUGCAUUCCAAAAAUUAUACCCCACCCCUCAACUCUAAACUUUAGUUUAGAUUAGUUAACCCUAGGGUUGUAAGUGUUUUUUUUCUCUUUAAAAAUGAAGGUAAAAAUUAUUAAAGUAAACAUGAUUUUUUUAUUAAAUAUGUGGUAUUUUUGGCAAUUUUCUUUCAUUAUAUUAUGUUAAGUAAAAAGUAUUUUACACAUAUAUAAAUUUUAAUUUGUUUAAUAUUUUAUCUUUUUCUAAUAAAAUUUAACUUAUAUUUUAUAUUUGGAUAUACAUUUUAUUUAAAAAUAAAUAUACUUGUUAAAAUUUACAACAUCAAAGUUUUAGAUACAAAAUAAAAUAUUUAAUCAUUUAAUUUCAGAGAGAGUUCAUGAAAUUUAAAUACAUCGAAUCAAAGUUAUACUCCUUUGUAGAGUAAAGAAAUUUUGUUACAAAAUAAGCAUUAUUUUAGAAUUUUAUAUUAUUUUUUUCUUUUGCCUUUAGUUAAUUAAAAUACUAUAUAAUUUUGAUAGUAAAUAAUGGUAAAACUGAAUAUUUAACUAUUUUAAUUUGUAUGAAAAAAAUAGACUACAACAAAUUUGAAAUGGAAAGAGUAUUACUUAAGAAACUUAAAAUGCUCAUUUGGUGUUAUAAUAUAUAUAGUAGGAAAUAGCUAAACUAGUCAUGUUUAAGAAAUGUAUUCCUAUAAUAAUUGAAAAACAUUUUUUUAUGCUGUAACAUUGACUACACUGUUUAAGUGUUAACACUACAACUCUUUUCACAAUUUAUAUUAAAAAUGAUGUUAAUUAUUAGAAAUAUUACAUAACUUUCAUUGUAUAUAAUAUAGCAGACAAUCCAUUAAUUAAAUGUUCAGAAAUACUAACUCUUUUUCUUUCCGUAAUAAAAAUUACAUGAUUAUUUAAUGCAACUACAAAUAUGAUAAUUAAUAAUACUGAAUCAUUUUCUUCUGUCAACAAUAAUACUGAACAAUAAAUUUGAUUAAAAAAUUGUAUAUCAUCUAUCUUUUUGUUUAGUUGUAUAUUAUUAUAAUAAAUUAAAAAUUCAUAUCAUCCAUAUAAUAAAAUUUAUAUUUUAAUGUAUAUUAAAUACUUUGAAUUUUUGUUAUUAAGAAAUAUAAUGAUCAUAAAAAAAUAUGAAUAUUUUAAUAUCAUUUAAUAAAAAAUAGUAUAUAUCUAUAUAAUAUCAUUCAAGUAAUUAUAUACCAUAUAAAUAUUUUAUUUUUAAUAUUCAUAUCAUUUUGAAUUGAUAAAAAUUUAAAUACUUUUACAAUUUUAACUUGAUUAAAUCGUAAAAUUUCACAUAUCUUUAUUAUUCUUUUAAAAAAUAUUUAUUUAACAAUAUUUUUAAAAAUAUCAUAAUCUGCACAUUAUUACCUAGUAAAAUACUAUUUCACGAUCGUUAUCCACAUAUAGUGAGAAGAGAAGUCUUUUUUACUCAUAGAUUCGUAAAAUGGUAAAUGAAGGAAACAUUCUCUCGUGUUAUAUAUUUACAUAGGUGAGUUGAGACAUUAUAGACCUCUUUUAGAUUCAUAUGGACGUACAUGCCUACUAACAAAAUAAAUACAAAAUUUUAUUCUUACCUAUUACAUUUUAUAGUUUUUAUUACUCUCAAUUAAUUGACUUAAGUAAUAAAGACAUUCUCAUUUAAUAAAAACAACUGUAGUGUCUUCAUAAAAGACGAAGAAAACAUAUUUACUUGCAUAUUUUGCAUCUUCUUCCUUAUUUAUUCUAUUAAAUUAAAAUAUCACUUCCAAAAAAUACAAAACUAAAAAUUUCAGAACAAGAUAGAGAGAGAGAGAGAGAGAGAAAGGGAGAUUACAACCACAAUGGACGAUUCAAACACAAGAAGCCAAACUAAGAAGACGAAGAAGCUUCAGAAAGACAAGAACAAGAACAAGAAGAACAACAUCCCUACUGUUUGGUUCUCUCUCAAGAAAUCUCUCCACUGCAAAUCCGAACCAUCCGACGUCCACGUCCCCAAAUCCACAAAACACCUCACCACAAUCUCCACCAAGCGCAUCUCCACCGCCAACUCCUCCCUACCCUCCGCCGGAUGCGGCGGCGGCUUAUCCGGAUGCUCGAGAUCGAUAGCGAAUCUCAAAGACGUGAUCCACGGGAGCAAACGCCACUUCGAGAAACCGCCGAUAAGCAGUCCUCGCUCCAUCGGAAGCAACGAGUUCCUCAACCCCAUAACUCACGAAGUCAUCCUCAGCAACUCCACCUGCGAGCUCAAAAUCACCGGCGUCGGAGACAUGGCUUCCCCCGCCGGAGCAACGGAAUCCGGCGGUGGCGGCGGAGGAAACGGACGGUCGACGACUUUUGUGGGGAUGCUGAGGCCGGGGACGCCGAUGCAUCAUCUGAACCACUCUGCUUCUCACCGGAGCCAUGCUUCGUCGACGGCGGCGAAAAAGGGAUCCUUUGCUUCGUCGGAGAGAGAGGUAACAGGAGAAGGGUUUCACACAAAGAGGAGAGUUUCUUUGGAGAUGAACAGAGACUCCGCCGUCAACGGAGGCAAAUACUCUGUUUCUUGCCAUAAAUGUGGUGAACAGUUCAGCAAACUCGAAGCUGCAGAAGCUCAUCAUCUCUCUAAACACGCCGGUAAACUCGAAACUUUAACCAUUGGGAUUAUAUAAUUAAUGAAUAUAUUAUAAAGUUUUCACCUUUAUGAAGAUUUUGUCGCAUUUUUAUAAUAUACUCUCUCCUGCUUCAUGAAAGAUCCAUGUUUAAGAAUUUUCAGAUUUUUUAAUAAAAUAUAUUAAAAUUUAUCAAUAAGUACAUAUUUUUUUAUAAUUUUAUAUUUUCUAUAUUCUUAAAUCAAUAAAAUUUUAAGAAAUACAGUUAAUAUUCUUAAACUUUACAAUUUUUUAUUAUUAAUUAACAAAAAUUACAUUGAAAAUAUAAAAUAUGUAUAUUUUUGAAAUAUUUUUUUUUUUAGAAUAUGGAUCUUUUAUGAACUGAGGGGGAGUAUAAUAUAAAGUUGAACAUUUUCGCAUAUUUAGAUUAUAAAGUUAUAAACUUUGCUCAUAAUAUUACAGUGACGGAGCUCGUAGAAGGCGACUCGUCGAGGAAGAUAGUGGAGAUAAUCUGUAGAACGAGCUGGUUAAAGUCAGAGAACCAAUGCGGGAGAAUAGACCGUGUCCUAAAAGUACACAACAUGCAGAAGACACUAGCUCGGUUCGAGGAGUACAGAGAGACGGUGAAGAUCAGAGCGAGCAAGCUCCAGAAGAAGCACCCGAGAUGUCUCGCCGACGGCAACGAGCUCCUCAGGUUCCACGGCACCACCGUGGCUUGCGGUUUGGGGAUAAACGGGUCGACGAGCCUCUGCACGGCGGAAAAGUGCUGCGUCUGCCGGAUCAUACGGAACGGGUUCUCGGCGAAGCGGGAGAAGAAUAACGGUGUUGGGGUUUUCACGGCGUCGACGAGCGGGAGAGCGUUUGAGUCGAUUUUGGUGGAGGAGGGAGAUGGGGAGAGGACGGUGACGGUGAGGAAGGUGUUGAUUGUGUGUAGGGUUAUAGCCGGGAGAGUUCAUAGGCCGGUGGAGAAUGUGGAGGAGGUGAAUGGGUUGAUGAUGAGUGGGUUUGAUUCUUUGGCUGGAAAAGUUGGGUUGUAUACAAAUGUGGAGGAGCUUUAUUUGCUCAAUCCUAGAGCUUUGCUUCCUUGCUUUGUGGUAAUCUGCAAGUCUUAAAAAAUAUUUAGCAUUUUUGUUUUGGCAGAAAGGUCAAAAUGUUCUUGUUAUUUGUUUAUAAUUUCUAGUUUUUACCAUCUUGUUCCGAAUUUGUUUUCAAGGUGAAUUUGGAAUUUAAGUUUUUAAUUUUUGGCUAGUUUAUGUCUGAGUUCUUAAUUAUUCUUACCUAGAGAGACAAAAAUAUUUUGUUCAUAUUAUGUUAGAUAAAUUUGUAUUUUGGCGUAUUAUACUAAUGUAAAAAGAUGUAGUAAGAGAUAGAUUGUAAAGUGUGUCAGAGUGAGAAUUUUAGUUUCACGGGUGGCCUGUUGGUAAAAGUGCUACUAUAAAUGCCAAGUUUUCAUUCAGUAAAAAGUUCUUACAAAAUCGAUAAAUAAGAAAAAACUCAUCAACAAAUUAAACAAACAUGAUAAUUUUUUUUGGUCGACGGUAAACCUUUCAAAGAUUUGGAACAUGAACGUUUGCUUCAUUGCUUGUUUGGUUGAAUCGUGUUAAUUGUUCAAUAUGGAUUUAUGUUGUUUAAAGUGUUUUCAUAUUUUUUUUAACUUCUAUUAUAUACAUAUCAAUAAUACAUAAUAUAUGAUGUACAGUAGAACAUAUCAUAUAUGUAUAGUACUCAGACGACCCAAAGACAUUUGGUUUUCUUUAGCUUCAAAAUUUUGUUUGGAACCAUCCCCGUAUAGUCCUAGAUUACAUACAAAAUGAAUAUUUAUAUAAGAAAACAUGGCAUAUAAAAACAAAAAUAACAUUAAUGAUAAUUAGACAUUUUGCUAAAACGAAUAAAAUGGUCCAUACUAAAUUACUCGAUAGUUUUCAUAAUGUCAGCGAGACAAAGCUUACGUCAAAGGUGUCGACAAAAUUCUAUCCCAUGCAAACAUUUAUUUGGAGCUUUUAUUAGUUCUAUCUGCAAAAGCCACCCUCUCAUCAAUAUAUAUCCGCCGAGAAAAGAAAAAUCAGAAUAUGCGAGCCCAAUAAUAAUAAAAGUUUCAAAUCUUGAAAUUUCGAAUUUUGAAAACAAAUAUACAUUUUGUUUUUUUUUUAGAUAUAUUAUUUCAGGGCUCUGCAAAAAUAUUUGUGAUAAUACAUUUUGUACUUAAAGUUGUUUGUGGACAAAGCAAAUUUUGUUUAAGAGGGAGCAUAGUCUAGUGAAAAUGAAUCAUAGAUAUCUCAAAAUGUGGCUAUUUCGAUAUUUGAUUACGUAUACAUACAAUGUAUGUUCAUUUUUCUUUUUUGAACUGACACAUAAUAAAUGUAUAUUUGAGAACGAAUGAGAAAUGACGAGGCCUGAAAUGGACAGUGUAUCUAUAUCAACCGCCGAAGUAACGGUGGGAUCAUACCACAUGCCGUCUCAGAAAAUUGUAUUCUAUACAAACCUUGUAAUUAAUUAUCUCCACUCGACAACAAUCUAUGUCGUCAUUUUCGGAUCUUUUAUAUAAUGACGAGAACGCAUUAGUAAUCCCCUAAAUAUGCGAAAUAUACAGAAGCUAAAAGCGAGCUGAUUAAGGCUUAAAGACCAUGGUUUAGCCACAUAUGAAAGCGUUUGUAGAUUCUUUGUUCCCUGUAAAAAGUUGAUUGUUAGAAACAUAUUUCGUAGCUUUGUAAGUGGAGAAAGUGUUUAUCUGGUACGAUUUCUACACUUUUAACUUAAAAUGGAUUUUCAAUAUAUCCAUCAUCAAAUACAUAGGUCCAUUAGUCUACAAAUCAAAAGUGCAAUGAAGAAGAAAUAAGGGAGAUGCUAAGAUGCUGAGCCAGCUGCAACUUGAGUUGUUUCUUUAUCCUUAGCCUCCUUAAGUUGCUUCCAUUUCUCAAUGGUGUCGAUAAGUUCCCCAGUUUUGAUCAGAUAUCUCACCUUCUGUCCAUCUUCGAGGACCUUGUGACCCACCCGGCUAACCACCUCCUUUUCUUUCGAAUACAGCAUCACAUUUGAGCUGUGAAUCGGUGCUUCAAUCUGGAAAACAUAAUGCAUUUUAGCACAAUCCUCAAUCAUCAUCACUGCCAAAGGCAAAGUGAAGGGAGCUACACGAUGUGGUUUCUGUUUUGCAAAUUAUUUUUAAGAGAGUCAUGUGAGUGGUGUCUGACCUUGAGAAUUUGGCCAGGCUCUCCCUCUUCACGGCUCUUCAUGUGUUUGGUCUUGAGGUUGACAUCUUUGAUGACAAUGGUGCUGUUGUGGGUAAAGAUCUUAGUGACUUCUCCAAUCUUGCCCUUGUCUCGUCCAGAUAUAACUUUGACCGUAUCACCAAACUUGACAUGCAUUUUGUGCAGAAUUGGAAGACUGUUUGGUUUGCAUUUCUUCCGUUCCCAACGCUUAAGCUGAAAGAAAGAAAAAAAACACACAUCAUAAUCCUGUUAAUGCCCUUAGGAAUCAAUCAAGAGAUGAAACUCAACAACAUUACCAAAAGAAUGAGGUAAAGGAUCUUGGUUACUAACCUUUGCGUAAACAAGACAUGGGUUCUGGGCGGGCUUGACCUGCAAUGAGUUACAAAAGAAAAGCAGAGUAAUUAAGGAACCAAACCCCACUCCAACUGCAAACACUUUGCCUAAAAAAACGCUAAACCAUUCUUCUGACUCAGUAUAAGUUCGUUCGAGCAACAAAACCAUAAUCAACCAAAAUGUACAUCACCAGGUGCUAAAUGCAUUCUUUAGAUUCCAAAAGGUUCACCAACCAAUCAAUCAAACGAGCACACAAAAAUAAGAGAUCCUAACUUAAAAGUUUUAGAUGCAUCGCCAAGCCAAGUAGAGAUAAACAGUUGUCUUUUGAGAAAAAAAUCAAAGUUAUAGAAUUUAAAGUGUUCAUAACUUCAUCUCAGUUCAGUACUAACACAGAAAAAGACAAAGAGACAAUUCACAUUCUCCAAUCCAUUCUCCACUAAACAUAACUCAUAGCGCAGAAACACACAACAAAGUUUCAAUCUUUACUCCUUUUAGAGAAAAAAUUUAGAAUUGGCACCAAAAUUCACCAUACCAAAAGCUUAAUAAAUGAAACUAAUCAACAGGUCCAAUGAAAGAUAUCAAACCCGUUACAGGGCUAAAUGUUCGAGCUAAACGUGGCAAUGUCUUUGAUUAGAACGAGAAAUUCGAAAACGGGAGUUACCGGAGAAGCGGCGGAGAGGGAAAGCGGGGAAAGGAGACGCUGGCCGAGGAAGGAGGAGUUGGACUUGGAGGAUAUCGAAAGAGAUGUAAACGAGCUCUGAAGAGAAGUCAUCAUGGUCGCCAUUUUAUUUCAGAGUAACUCCCGCUUGCUAACACUUCAUGUCUCUGUUCGUCUCAAGGCGAUAAGACGAGGAUAACAAUUAUCUCUUUACUGUUAAACGACACCGUUUUAGUACCAUGAUUAACUUCACUGGUGGGUUUUUGGCUAAAGGUUUGGGCUUAAAUAUUGUCUGCUUUGGUGUAAUACCCCAAACAUAUACUCCCUCCGUUUAUGAUGUUUUAGAAAUUUUUUGUUGUUUCGAAAUAGAUGAUGUUUUGAUUUUUUAUGUUAUUUUUAACUUUAUUGAAAACUGUGUAAUCAAUUAAAUGUUAUAGUCAUUUCUAUAAUUGAUUGGAUGAUUUUUAAAUUAUAUUUUUUAAACUAUUUUAAGAAUAACAUCAUCUAUUUUAUAGAAGUUCUGUAUUUUUUUAACUUUUUUUUGAUAAUUCGGCGGACCGAAACCUAACUGACUAAUAUCAUGGAAUCUGUCCACCGGUACUAAAUAGAUCCGGUUAUUUGCAAUGAGAAUUAAAUAUCCAUAUCACUUUGACCACACAAGCGGACAGUGGCGGAUCCAGACUAAUUAUUUGACGGGAGCACAUAAUAAAUAUAUAUAUAUUAAAUAAUAUAAAUAAUUAAUAUAAAAUAAAUAACUAUCUAUUUAAAAAUGUCGUAAAUGAGUAAUCAUUAAAAAUUUAAUAUAGACUAUUAGCAAAUUUAAUUUUGUUCAACUCAGAACAGACUAUAUAAGAUUUUUUUUUACAAAUGUAUAAUCACAAUAACAUAUUGUCGCAGUUAAAAUUAACUUGAAUAUUUAUAAAAAAUAGUCUUCAAGUUUACACAUAUACAACAGUAUAUCGAUAUCACACACAACUUGUUUGUAGUCAUUAUAUCAUAAGGUCUAAACUCUAAAAUAUUAAAUAAAAUGAGUGGAUUAAUUAGUUUUAUUUCUUUAUUAGCAAUUGCUAACUAGUAAAAGAAUGGACUUAAAAAUGCAAAUUUUAAGAUAAAAUAUAAACUAUAAUAGAAAGAAUGAUAAAAAAGACAAAUAAAGAAAAGAAAAGAUAUGCUAACAAGAAAAAAUAAUAAUAUUAACAAUAAAACAAAAGGUAGGAUAAUCUCACUAAUAUAUAAUAGCUUUACGGAAAUUGUAAAAGUGGAGAAGACAUUAACUAUACAGCAAGAGAUAAACCAGGAAAAAUAAAGGUGUUGGGCUCGAACCAUGUAAAUGCUGAAGUAACCGGACAUCUUUACCAAUCGUUCCAACAAAAUAAAUAGUCACCGAGCUACAAAAUAAUAUUUGAAAACUAGUCGGGGGCACGUGCCCCCGUUCAUGGUACUGUAGAUCCGCUCCUGCAAGCGGGUAAAUUUAAAUUUAGUAAACUUCUAACCUAGGGUGCUUAACACCAUUCCAAGCCCGUGGUAGCACUAUAUAGUAUAUAGUUAGGUUCCAUAUUACUAAGAUUUUGUUUUUAUUUUCUUUUCCUCGUUCAAUAUUUAUAAGUUGCAGAAUUUUUAGUUCCCAAGUGUUUUAUUUUUUCCAAUGGAAGACACUAUUACAUAUAUGGUUUUUUUUUGGAAGAACAAAAAAAUUGGAUUAAAAUGUAUCUAAAAACCAAACAUUUCAAAUAGUUGUGCUAAUUGCAACUAGAUUAUAAUUUUUGGAAUGAAAUGAUAUGGAACGGUUGAUCCGUUAAUUCUACAUUUUUAAACCAUUUACUCUAUAUUUUUUUUUACCUUUUAUUAUAUUGUGAAUAGAAUAAAAUCUUUAUUAAAUAAAAAUAAAUAAAUAAAAUACAAAGAAAAUGAUUUUAUAGCAAUUUGUUUAUGAAUAAAUAGAAUAAAUCUAUUCCAUUUUUGAUGUAUUCGGUAUUCCACUCCUAUUAUUCUAUUUUAUUUAACUACAUUAAUUCUAUAUUAGUUUACCAGUUACUGUUUACAGUGGUCUCCAUUAUCUAAAUGCUAAAUUUCUUUUACAACAAACCCCCUAAAAAUUAACAUAAAAUAAUUUUUCCAUUCACUAUUUUCAGUUACCAUCAACAUCCUCCUAACAAUACGUCUAUAAAUCAUCCUAAAACCCACCCUCCCAAAAAUAUAAAAAAAAAGCCAAUUACAAAGGUAAUAAAUUACAAUUAUAAAAUAUCUUUUUUCUUUUUGUUUAAACAAACAACAAUGCAUCACUAGUCUUCAAGUGUACUGUCCAUGGAAUUAUCUCUCCUAUGAUUUUCCGAUAGUCCCGAUCUAUCUCCAGUCCGCUCAACACUAUACGCCACCGUAGGUGGAAGCAAGGGAGCCUUCUUCUGAUGUUUUCUGGCAUGUCUCACCUUAAUGACACGUGUCAAAACCUGCACAGCAUCCCUCAUGUUGGGGCGUUUCCUUGGGGCAUGAGAUAUGCAUUUAUAUGCAAAAGCCGCAACUUCAUUCACUUCUUGUAUAUCAAACCUCCCAUCUAAUCUCGAAUCCACAAUCUCUUCCCACCCAACCUUCUCCUCUGCAUUCAUAGCCGCCUAAAACAAAAACUUGUCUUAGUAAUGUUUUCUUCAAAGAAACAAAUGUGGAGUUGAGGAUCAUGUUGGUGCCUCUUUUACCAGUUCAACAUAUUCCAUUAGACCUUGUUGAGGGUUUCUUCCAGCUAUAAGCUCAAAAAGCAAAACCCCAAAUUUUAAUUCUUUUCUUUGUCUUGUUUUAUUUCCCUUUUCCCCCAUCACAAUAACAUAUAUAUAGAUUUAUACUAACUUAAUUUUAAAUUGAAUUUGAUAAAUUAAUCAUUAACUUUUUUUCAUGUUCUUUUGAAAUCCAUAUUGUCUGCCAUAUAUUAUUUCCUUCAUUAUAUAAUAGAUGACUUUAAAUAUUCUUAUAUGAUUUCCUUCAACAAAAAUGUUGCUAAAUACGGAAAAGGUAACAAAAUAUAUAAUAAAUGACGUAUAAUAUUCUUGAUACUGAAAUCUAAUACAAUCGGAAAAAUAUGCACCACACGAAACGAAACAUUUUGGCAGUCAAAAGAUUGGCGUACAAAGAGAAGUUUUAAAAAAAAAGUCUUACUUUAAUUGUAUUGAUUCAUUAAUAUCAUAAAGGAAAAAGCAAUAAAUAGUAAAUAUCCGACCUAAAACUUGCCGUGGUGGGCAAGGCUACCCUCUGUACUAAUGGAAAGGUUUUAGGAGGAGAAGAUGGAAUAUUAUCAAUUCUCUUAGAGCUGUCUCAGUUUUUUUUUUCCUAAGAACAUUCAUGACUUGUUUCUUAGCCGGCUCUUGAGGCUCCGCCUUGUGAAACCUGCGUUGGUGAGAAGAUCAUCCUCUGUUUCUCUUCUUAUCUCUAACGGCUUCUCAACUACUUCCCUGCGGCAAACCCCUCCUUGUUCCGUCAUGGGCGCUAGACCUUGUGGAGACGAUCUCGGAGGACUCAUAGUUGCCUAUGCAGAUACACAUGCCUGGACUGAACUGGACAAAAUGGUACGUCUGGAGUUGGUGUGUAACAGUAUUAAUCAUGGAAAAACGCUAACGAUCGGGGCAUCUCAUGGGUGGGUAGCUAGUUUGAAGGAAGAUGGAACCCUGUGUCUCCAAGAUGAUAUAAACCCGUAUGCAUCGUAUACAGAUCCUAAACGCAUCCCUCUGCCUCCUCUUGUGACUCUGCCACAUUGUCAAACCAAAAUCAUCACCAACGUUUCAAUGUCCUCAUCUUCUCCAGAGGACGAUGAAGACUGUGUCGUGGCUGUCAAGUUCUUGGGACCUCAGCUCAGCUUUUGCAAACCAGCCGGUAAGAGUCGUAAACCAAAGUGGACCAGCAUCAAGCUCGAGAACCCUUGCUUCUACUCCUCCCGUGUCAUGUUUUCCAAGAAACACAACAUGUUUCGUAUUCCGGGAUCUGGAGGCCACCUCAUCAGGUCAUGGGACCCCUGCAAUCCCAGCGAUGACCCUAAGCUUCAGAGCGUUCGGUUUACUAACAUUCCCAAGCUGACCAACGCUGAACAUAAUGUUAUGGAUUCGUGCAGCAAGAGCGAGCACUUGGUGGAGUCACGACCCACUGGUGAGACAUUCUUGGUUAAGCAGUACAAGCAGCUAGCCGAGAACGAUGAAGGUGUUGCCAUAAUGAAAACAAAAUUUUUAAGGGUGUACAAGCUAGAUGAUGAAGGAAACGCAGUUCAGACUCGAGACAUGGGAGAUCUCGUCAUGUUCAUCUCAAUGUCUGAACCUUUUUGUGUGCCUUCUACUUCUUUUCCUGGCAUGUAUACUAACAACGUUUACCUCUAUGAUUAUGAUGAAAACGGAUAUGUGGAUGUGGCUGGCACCCCCUUCGACAUGGCUAGUGCAAAAGGUCCACUUUAUUCCCCUUAUCAUAUUCCACCUCAAGAUAUCGGCAACUAGUUUUGAAACUGUCUUGUUUAUGUUCUCUGUGAGAUGUUUAAUGUAUUCUCUUUGGAGAUAUUUUUAAUCUUAAGACAAAGAAUCAUAAGUUAAUCUUACGCAUAGUUGAUCAAUAAUAAAUAUUAUUCAUUAAAAAAAAUAAGAAAACAUCUGCCAUUUCUCAAAGUUAAAAAAAAAAAGAUUAGAAAAUAAAAUAUAAUAACAAAAGUAUAAUAUUUUCUUUUUAAGAAAAAAAAUAUUUUUGAAAAUGGACAUCUUGUACUAAAAUGUAUAGUUUUGAAUUUGUUUUUCCACUAUUAAAACAUGUCUGAAUUUUAUUGUGGGAAUUGUUUGUCUGCUGUGACAAAUAAAAAUAAAAACAAAAAUUAACAUUAACAUCACUGACACUAAGUUGACGAAUUCCCAGUUUUGUAUUUAAAACAUUAAUGGAAAAUGUUUUCCAAAGGAAAAGAAAAACAAAUAUCUCCCUUUCCGCUAAGAACAUCCAAUAAUAAAUUACCAAAUAUAUUCAAUUACAGUAAAUUCAUUAAUAUCAUGAAGCAAAGAGUAAUAAAUAGUAAAUAUCCCACCAAAACCUUGCCUUGGGGUACAAGGCUCUUUCUGUGUAUUAAUGGAGAGAUUUUAGAUUAGAGAAGAUGGAACAUCAUCAAUCUCUCUCAGCUUUUUGCUUAAAGAAUUCUCAUGUCUCUCUUUCUCAGUCGGCUCCGCGUUGGGGUGAGAAGAUCCUCCUCUGUUUCUCUUCUUCUCUCUAACGACUUCUCAACCUCCAUACGGCAAACCCCUCCUUGUUUUGUCGUCGCCGCUAGACCUUGGGGUGAGAAGAUCCUCCUCUGUUUCUCUCCUUAUCUCUAACGGCUUCUCAACUUCCUUGCGGCAAAGCCCUCCUGGUUUUGUCAUCGCCGCUAGAUUUUGUGGACACGAUCAAGCAAGACUCACAGUUUGCUAUGCUAAUCAACGUGCCAUAACUGAUCUGGACAAGAGGGUACCUAUGAACUUGGUGUAUCCUCACAUUCAUAAUGAAUUAAUGAUGAUAAAACGCAAACGUAUCCCGCUGCCUCCUCUUGUGACUCUGCCAAACCAAAAUCAUCACCAACGUGUCAAUGUCGUCAUCUUCUCCAGAGGAUGAUGGGGACUGUGUCGUGGCUGUCAAGUUCUUGGGUCCUCAGCUCAGCUUUUGCAGGCCAGAUGAGAGUAAACCAGAGUGGACCAGCAUCAAGCUCGAAAACCCUUGCUUCCACUCCUCCCGUGUCAUGUUUUCCAAGAAAGACAAGGUGUUUCGUAUUCUUGGAUGUGAAGACCACCUCAUCGCUUCCUGUGGUUUGUUCAGCAAGAGGGAGCCCUUUGUGGUCGUAACUACAUUCACAUCCUCGAUGUUGAUGAAAUCGUAGGUUAUGAUGUAGGUGACAUCUCCAUCGCUACUACAAGUGGUACAUUUUAUUCCCCUUAUUAUUUUCCACCACAAGAUGUUGUUGACAACUAGCUUUGUAAUGUUCUCUCUGAGAUUGUUAUGUGUGUUCUCUUUGGAGUAAAACAGUGACUAUAUUAAGCUGAUCAUAUAUGUUUUCACUACUCCAUCUCAUUGUGUACAACAUGUCAUUGAUGUCAAAUGUACAACAGUACAACAAUGAUGCAUAGUAAAGCAUCUAUAUCCAAGAGAUAAAUGGAAUUGUUAAAUAUAUAUUAAAAAUAAUUUAGUAAACACAGUUUCUAUACUCUGUCUGCCAAUGAAGAAUAGAGUUGUUAGCAACAAGUCUUAUAUAAAUAUAAAUAUUAUUAAGCCAAUCAAAUAAAACCAAUUUAAAUUAAUUUUUGAGUUGAUUGGGUGAAUAUAAACAAUAAUCAUAUUUAGGUAAAUGGUUAUCAUGUCUCUGAAAUUAGGUAAGUGGUCAUGCACUUUUGGAGUACAAACGUUUUAGUCCUUAAGUAAUCGUUAUAUGCAGGCUACAAAUUGAUGAUCUCCUUUUGCAAAAAAAUCAACAUAAUAUAACAGUUGGUGAAGAGAACUCAUUCUUUAUUUAUUCUCUCUAUAUAUCUCUUUCUCUUCCAUUCAUUUUUGUGUUCACUUUUCAUUGUUCCUUCUGAUCCUCACAUUAAACAAUUAUUGGAGCUUGUUGGAAUAGCAAUUUUUUUUAUUUUUUUUGUGCAACUUUGGAAUAGCAAUCAUACUAAACAAUUUCAGUGAUCUUACAUCAUGCAAGUCUCAUGAACAUAUGAAAAAUAAAGAAGGAGGAUAAGAAGUUGAAUAAAAUUCUUAACAAGUCAAAAGAGUAAACACCAACAUUAACUAGUCUUUUAUAGUUAAGGAACACAUGCAGCAUGAAAUGUGGUAACAAAACACAGCAAUAUAUGUUGAGGUAGCAUGAUUACUGAUCAUGAUUACUCAACCCUAACGUAGUAUUAGACAAUAUUUUGAGGUGGAAUAUGGUAAGGGGCUAGGUAAGGACAAUUGCCACCAAUGAUGUUGGAAUAGGGCACACUAAUAUAGACGUUCUCGUCAAAAUCCAAGAAGGCGACCCGGUUAGAGGGCAUGCCAGGGAAUGAGCUAGCAGGAACACAGAAAGGUUCAGACUUUGAGAUGAAAAUGCAGAGAUCUCCAAUGUCUUGAGUGUAAACUGCGUUACCUUCAUCGUCAAUCUUGAACACCAUCAAGGCUUUGGUUUGCAUUUUCUCUGAACCGCUAGCCCUUGGCCUCCUGUACAGCUUAACCAAGAAAGUUUCACCGGUGGUUCCUGACUCCACCAAGUGCUCGCUCGUGCAACACGAACUCAAAAGCUCACGUUUGGUCUUGCUCAGCUUGGGAACGUUUCGAAACCGCAACCUCUGGAACUUGGGUUUGUUCUUCUUGUCUGUGCAGGCAUCCCACGAUCCAAUAAGGUAUCCACCAGACGCGAGAAUGCGAAACAUGCCGUGUUUCUUGGAAAACACGACAGGGGAUGAGUAGAAGCAGGGGUUUGCGAUUCUGAUGUUGGUCCACUCGGGUUUACCUCCUGGUCUGCAAAAGCUCAGCUGAGGUCCAAAGAACUUAAGAGAGACAACACAGUCCUCGUCCUCGGGAGAAGACGAGGACAUGGCCAUGUUGGUGACCAUUUGGGUUUGGCAGCGAGGAAGAGUGACAAGAGGAGGCAGGGGAAUGCGUUUAGGGUUUGUAUCAGAUGCAAAAGGGUUUAGAUCAUCUUGGAGACGCACUAUGCCGCCGUCCUUCAAAGUAGCUACCCACCCAUUAGAUGCCCCGACUAUUAGCAACCUCAGUACGGACAGGCCCAAGACUCUGAAUGAAGCAAUCUUCAAGCCCAAGCCCAUUCCGAUUAUGACUGUGCCAAGUCAUCAAUCCUCUCCAACGGUUAUAUUGAGCAACGACAAAGACAUUAGCAUAAGAAGAGAAGAGAAGAGAAGAGGAAAGGAGAUUGUGACAUCAUGUACGGAACCGUGUGGUCCUGAGCUAUAUAACUCAUUCUCAGCCCUUGGAUCACUUGGAGAAGAAGGAUGAUGACAAGUGUUACAGAAGCUAGGGUUUUCACUUAAGUUUAUGUGUCUAUUUAAGCAUGUUGAUGAACAAUGUAGAACGGCAAGAAUUGAGAAAUAAUAAAAGUUAUAUUUUCAUCUCUGUUCUUCACUCUUUCAUGGUAUCAGAGCCAUGGAAGCUCUUGAACUUUACUCUCCUCCAUCACUGAAAAUAGUGAACUCAGUUACUGUAAAACUCACUGAAAGAAACUACUUGUUAUGGAAGAAUCAGUUUGAAGCCUUUCUCAACGGUCAGAGACUCCUAGGGUUUGUCACCGGCGAAACACCAAGACCAGCGGCGACCCUCCCCGUUCCAGGCAUCAACGGCACAACUACUCCAGUCACAAACCCUGAUUACCACACGUGGUUUCAGACAGAUCAGGUUAUAAAGUCAUGGCUGUUGGGUUCUUUCUCGGAAGAUAUACAAAGUCUAGUCGUGUCUUGCAACACUUCUCAGGAGAUCUGGCUUACGCUGGGAAGACACUACAACCGUCCAACAUCUUCUCGUUUGUUUGAACUUCAACGCAAGCUGCAGACAGUAACAAAGCAGGAUCGGUCUAUGACCGACUAUCUUACUGACCUUAAGCUCAUAUGUGACCAGCUCACUUCGAUUGGGAGUCCGGUACCCGAAAAGAUGAAAAUCUUUGCUGCUCUCCAAGGCUUAGGAAAAGAUUAUGAGCCUUUGAUAACAAGUGUGGAAGGAUCUGUUGAUAUGAUGUCAAACCCUACACUAGAAGACCUGAUUCCAAGGCUUCACAGCUAUGACUCUCGCAUUCAACGAUACAACGCACCAACAGAAGCAUCUCCUCACCUUGCCUUUAACGUUGAGAGAUCCAACUAUCAGACUGGUUACUACAACUCCAGAGGAAGAGGACAGUCAAACAGGCGUUUUGGAGCAAACAGAGGUAGAGGAUCUUUCUCAACAAGAGGAAGAGGAUUUCAUCAACAACUGUCAUCUUCCGGCUCUCAAUCAGGCUCUUCCGUGUCCUCUGUAUCGUCUGAUGAGAGACCAUCAUGUCAGAUCUGUGGAAGAUAUGGUCACAGUGCAUUGAGAUGCUGGCACAGGUUCAACAACACCUAUCAGGAAGAAGACAAGCCUACGGCUCUAGCUGCAAUGCGCAUUACAGACGUAUCUGAUCAUGGUGGGGCUGAGUGGUUUGCUGACUCUGGAGCUACUUCUCACAUAACAAACUCACCGAAUCACCUUGCCUACACUCAACCAUACAGAGGCAACGAUGCGGUUCUCAUUGGAGAUGGAAACUUCUUGCCUAUUACCCAUGUUGGAUCAGCAGACAUAGCGUCAACCUCAGGUACUUCCCUACCUCUUAGAGAUGUACUGGUCUGUCCAGGGAUCACCAAGUCUUUGUUAUCUGUCUCUAAGCUUACCAAUGACUAUCCAUGCUCGUUUGAAUUUGAUUCUAACCGCGUGUAUGUUAAGGACAAGCAAACGCAAAAUCUGUUGAAACAAGGAAGCACCCGUGAGGGUCUAUACAGUCUCAAGUCUCCGAAGCCUCAAGUCUUCUACUCUACCAGACAAGUUGCUGCGAGCGAUGAAGUGUGGCAUAGGAGGUUGGGACAUCCACAAGAGCAAACUCUCAAGUUCCUGAGUCAUAACAAAUCUAUUUUGGUCAAUAAAAGUACCUUGAGGAUGUGUGAACCAUGUCAGCUAGGGAAGAGUUGUAGGUUACCGUUUGUUGCGUCUUCUUUUGUUGCGUCCAGACCUUUAGAGAGAGUCCAUUGUGAUCUCUGGGGUCCAUCUCCUGUAACAUCUAAUCAAGGAUUCAGAUUUUAUGUUAUCUUUAUUGACAACUACUCUCGUUACUGCUGGCUGUUUCCUCUAAAGACCAAGUCAGAUUUCUUCAACGUAUUUGUCUCCUUUCAGAAGCUUGUUGAGAAUCAGUUGUCAACCAAAAUAGGAGUGUUUCAGUGU